rnacentral:lncRNA from 1 species
CUUGUCUAGGUUUGGACCAACCGGGCUCAACCAGCCUAUUAACACCUCUAUACAUGAUGUUUUGGGUUCAAAUAUUAUUAUAAUCAAAUUUUUAUUGAUUUAUUAUAUGUAAAAGAGAUAAAAAAUUCUUAUAAAAAUAUUAAAAAAUAUAUUCUUAUAAAAAUAUAAUCUAAUUCGUCUAUAAGAAAAUAUUUUAAUAAAUUUAAAAUUAAAUUGAUGUUUAAUUUAAUCAUAACACCAACACAUUAAAACACAUAAAAGUAAGUAGGAUAUAAAUUAACUGGGCAGUGUUGAAUGCCUCGUGGUACGGAAAACAUGGCCAAAAAACAGCAUACUAAUCUCUAAGAAUUUUGGAUCCAUUAUUCUAUCCCAUUGAAUUUGGAAUUUCCAACCAAGUUUGUGAUUCUUUAUUCCGUCUCAACUAUGGAUUGAAUAUAUACGGGUCAUCAUCCUCCUAUUUUCGCCUUUUCUUCUAUGACUUCCUUUAUGUCUUUUUCAUGUUUCAAAGGUAGAAUUUAUGCAUGUAUUUGGCCAUUUGCCAAUAAUUGCACUUUCACGAAACUAGUAGUGUAUUGGUGUUGGCAGUAUACUCAAAGUUUUAUUAUUAUUUUGGUAUCCAAUCGCGUUGAAAUUAGGGUAAAUUAUUAAAAUAGUCACUUUUAUUUGCCUCAAGUUACAUUUUAGUUACUUAUGUUACAAAUGUUACGUUUUAGUCACUUAUAUUAUCGUGUUAUAACAUUUUAAUCAUUGAGUUGUUAAUUACCAUUAACGGUGUAACGGUAAGCUGACAUGACAUAUUAAAUCAUCAUUUUAAAUGAAAAUUUUAAGUUAAAAUUUUACAAUUGGUCUCUAUAUUUUUUCAUCUUAAACAAUUUAAUUUUUUCUCUUUUAUGUUCUUUUAACUUUCUUUAUUUUCUUUAUUUUCCUUUCUCUUUUGCUUCUCCCUAUAUUUUCCUCCCUUAUUCAUUUCUUUUAACAUAGUUUUUCUAUGUUUUCCAUUUGUUAAAAUUAGUCCACAAGCUCGCCUCAAUAAAAAAAUUAAAUUGUUCCAAAAAGUAAAAGUAUAGGGACUAGUUUUAACAAAUGAAAAACAUAGAAAAACUAUGUUAAAAGAAAUGGAGAAGGGAAGAAAACAGAGGGAGAAGCAGAAGAGAAUGAAAAAAAAAGAAAGUUAAAAAAACAUAAAAGAAAAAAAUUAAAUUGCUCAAAACAAAAAAUAUGGGGACUGAUUGUAUAAAUUAACCUAAAUUUAUUGUUUAAAAUGAUGAUUUAACGUGUCAUCAGCUUACCAUUACACUGCUAGUAAUAAUUAAUGGCUCAGUAACUAAAAUGUUACAACGCGAUAACGUAAGUGGUUAAAACACAACAUUUCAAACAUAAAUGACUAAAAUGUAACUUGAGGUAAACAAAAGUGACUAUUUUGGUAGUUUACUCUUAAAAUUAUGUUAUAGGCCAGAUUGGAGGACUUCCACUACUACAUUGGAAAACCAAAUGAAUGACCUUGAAAUUAAGAUGCAAUUUGACCCAAUGGACAUUCUUGUUCUGGAGGGACUUCUCUCAAGUUAUAGGGUGUAUAGGAAGGAGGAGCUUGCAUGGCUUCAAAAAACGAGUAAAGAAGAAUUAACAAAAUUUAGCAUUUAUAGGUGCAAAAUAUAAAAUUAGUUUUCCAGAAUCAUUUGCCUCUAUACAUGGCAAAGGUUAUGCUAUUGAUAUGGAAUUUUUGGAAUUUUCUUUUAACUCAACAAAAAGAGCCAAGAAUAUCGACGUAUCAAAAACAUCUCAAAAUAACUGCAAACACCUUAACAAAAAAUGUUGGAAAAUAUUGAGUGGAGAACAUAGAUCUGGAGACAAUAUUGAAUUAAAUAGUAGACCUCGAGGCGCAGGUGACACUUUCCAAAGAGAACUGUUUACCUCCACACAAAGUUGCUAGAGGGUUAAGACAAAGGUCCUUCCGGGAUACAACGAAGCUUUUGAAUUUCCUUUGAUUAGCAAAAUCGAGGAAUUCCUUAACUCUUACUCUAAUUUUUGAAAACAAGAUUGAUUGUAAUUGUAUUUUUUAGCACCAUAGACCCUCUAUUUAUAUAAACUUAAUGCAUACUACUUUGAAGACUCACAACCCUUUACAUUUGAUUUCCAUUGGACAUACUUCUUAGAAAAACAUGUCUCAUGGAAUCAAAUGUAUCCUUUGAAUAAAUCAUCACUUUCUAAUAAGUGCUCAUGAAUACUUAUGAAUUUGCACACGAGCUGAUACACAGGCAUGUGAGCCAAGUUAGUAAGUUACACUAAUGAGCACACGGUUGGACAGACAGGCAUGUGGUAUAGCCAUAUGGCUAUGUUUGGAGCCACACGGUCUAGACUCUGUCACACGGCCUGGACGCACGGUCAUGUGACCCCUGUAGGUGAAAUUUUUUAGUUUUCCAGAAAUGUUCUAAUUUGUUCCAAUUUGGUCCCUGAUUGCUUGAAAGCUAUUUUAAGGCCUCGUAGACUCAAUUUAAGGCUCGCAAAUGCAUGAUUUAUUCCAUUUUGAAUUUCUUAUAUAUUUAUUAAAUAAAUUUGAAAAUUAAUUACUAUUGGUUAUAAAAUGUUUCGUUUUCUACAGUAAUACUUUGUAACCCUAUUUCAUCGAUGAAAACGGGUUAUAGAUGUUACAUGUACACCUUAUUGUACGCUUGAGACAUGGUGGAUUCACUAUCACAAUAUACGGAAAUGGCGAAUGUACGUUGUGGCCAUAACUUUAUAUCUAGCAAGAGAUAUCUUAGUCAUUCCACUUCUUUGCCAGUAUCCGCCAAAGCUAUAAAUUCAACAUCCAUAGUUGACUGUGAAAUGCAAGUUUGUUUCUUGGAGACCCAACUAAUGGCUCCACCUUUGAUCGUAAAAAUCCAUCCCGAUGUCAACGUAUUGUCACUUAAAUUUGUAAUACAACUUGCAUCCGGGUAACCUUCUAGUACCGCGGGAUAAUCACUAUAGAAUAAUCCCAAAUUUUUUGUUUUCUUAAGAUAGCCAAAAAUCCAACAAAUUCCUUUCCAAUGAUCGGUACUAGGACAAUUUCUAAAUCUUACCAUUUUGCACACAGCAAAUGCGAUAUCGGGUCUAGUACAAUACGUUGCAUACAUUAGACUUCCAAUUACAUCGGUGUACUCAAGUUGCACUACAACCCUGCCAUUAUUCUCACUUAACUUAAAGUUUGAAUCAUAUGGAGUGUUCGAAUCCUUGAUAUUCAAAUGUUUGAACUUUUCCAAUACUUUCUCGAUGUAGUGAGAUUGGCUUAGUGCAAAGCCUCUUUUAUGCUUUUUCAUCUUUAUAUCUAGAAUUGUAUCUACCUUGUUAAGAUCCUUCAUCUUAAAAUUCAAGGCUAGAUACUCUUUGGUCUCAUAAACAUAUUCCAUGUUCGUCCCAAAAAUUAACAAAUCGUCUACAUAAAGAUAAAUAAUUACACCAUACUUAUCGGUAAAUUUAGUGUAAAUAUAUUUAUCCACACCAUUAUGUAAAAAAACCAUAUGACAAGAUAAUUGAGUCAAAUUUCUCAUGCCAUUGUUUAGGCGUUUGUUUUAAGCUAUAUAAUGACUUGAUCAACUUACACAUCUUAUGUUCAUUUCCAGGAAGCACAAAGCCUUCUAGUUGCUCCAUGUAGACGUCUUCUUCGAGAUCACCAUUCAAACAAGCCAUCUUAACAUCCAUUUGAUGUACAUGUAACUUAUGGAUAAUGUAAGUGCUAUAAGAAUUCAAAUGGAGGUCAUCCUAGCGACUGGUGCAUAGGUGUCAAAAUAAUCUAGGCUUUUCUUUUGCCUAAAUCAUUUAGCUACCAACCUAGCCUUAAAGGUUGGAGCACCCCCUAAUGGAGUAUUCUUCCUCGAUAGGCUUCGAUCCUUGAUGAAGAUCAACUAGAAUCCAAGAAUUGUUUGGUAAUAUUGAAUCAAUUUCAUCAUUGAUCGCCUCUUUCCAAAAUGUCACAUCCCUAAAAGUCAUGGUUUCACCAUAGGAUUGUGGAUCACCAUCCACAUUAAACAUUAUGGUGAUCUUCCUAAUUAUGAAUUCUUUAUUUCCCUCAACAAGAAAUACUAGCGAUUGCGAGGAAAUGGAAUCAGGACCAAAGUCCAUUACUUUUCUCACUCUUUGACUUUUUCUCGGCUUUGUAUCCUUAUUGUCACAAAGACUUCUUUUGGUUUGAUCAUUUGAGAUCAUUGGUUGAUAUUUUUUCUCGAAUCUAUUGAAUCAUCGAAAACCUUAUUUUCAAUGAAUACAACAUCUAUUGUUUCAAUUCCCGUAUUUGACACUAAGUCAAGAACACAAUAAGCCUUAGAGUGUUGGGUAUAUCCAACAAAUGCACCUUUGAAGGCUCUUGGUCUUAACUUUGUUCUCCGUUGGUCAGGAACUUUAUAGUAAGCCAAGUACCCUCACACUUUGAAAUAAUCUAAGUUUGGCAUCCUACCAUUCCAUAACUCAUAUAGAGAUACUUUGAAUUUUCUCGAUGGUAUUCUAUUAAGGAUAUAACACGUAGUCAAUAAUACUACACCCCAUAGAUUAUAUGGAAGUUUAGCAUUUAACAACAUCAAGUUAACUAUAUCUACUAGAGUACGAUUCUUUCUUUCUGUCAAACCAUUUUGUUGCAGAGUAUAAGGAGCAGAACACUCAUGUACCACACCUUGUUCCUCACAAAAUACAUUAAAUUCAUUUGAAAAAUAUUCACCACCUCUAUCAUUACGAAGCACUUUGAUUUUCUUACUAAACAAAUUCUCAACCUCAUUUUUAAAAUGUUUAAACAUAUAAAAAGCCUCGUCUUUACUUUUCAUGAAAUACACAUAAGUAAAUCUAUAGAAGUCAUCUAUAAAAGUGAGAAAUAUCAUUUUCCACCUCUUGUUAGGGUUCCAUUUAAUUCACAAGCAUUUGAAUAGAUUAAAUCUAACACUUGUGAAUUCCUUUCACACUUAUUAGGAAAUCACUUCUUGAUAAUUUUUUGAUUAAAUACAAAUUUCACAUUUAUCCAUAAAAUCAUCAUUACUUAGAUUGAUAUAACUAUUCUUUUGCAUAUAUUGUAAAGUUAUAAAAUUAAAAUGUGCUAAACAUGCAUGCCACACAGGAGAAGACUUAACAAUAUAAGUAGAAGAAUUGACUUUAUUCAUAUUAAUGCUCAACUUGAAAAAACCCUCGUUACAAUAUCCUUUUCAUACAUAUAUAUCACCCUUAAGCAAGACAAACUUAUCAAAUUCCAAGAUAAUCUUGAACCGUUGUUAUAUAGAAGACUCUCAGACACUAAAAUAUUUCUCACAUCGGGAACAUGUAACAAAUUGGUCAAAGUCAAUUUCUUCCCAAAUGUGAAGUUGAGUUCCACUGUACCUUGACCGAGCACCUUAACUGAUUGAUAGUUGCCCAUAAGCACUUCGCAAUUUGCCACUAGUUCAUAACUCUCAAACUGUUGUCGGUCAUUACACACAUCGACAGUAUCUCUAGAGUCAAGCCACCAAUUACAGGACUUAUCGACCAUGGCUAUGUUGAGUUUGGUAAUCAUACCAAUCUCCAAACUCUCGAUUCCUUCCGUAACCAUGGUCACUAAGUCCCUGUCUUCCACCAUAUUGGCUUUGGAAGUUAUGGCAUCAUGCUUAUUUUUGAGAAAUUUUCAAUCCUUAAUAUAGUGUCCUUUCUUAUUGCAAUUAUAACAAAUGCAAUUUUUUUUCCUUGUCUUGCACGUCAUUGGUCUUAGAUGUCGCCUUUCUCUUACCAUUUUGAGAGUUCUUGGACUUGUUCACAUGGUUCACUUUAGAACUUUGGGGAAGAUACACCGCAUCACACUUUUGAGUUUCCUCUUCAAUAACAAAUGCCUAAGUAUUUUCUCCAUAGUGAAGUCCUUUUCCAUAUGCAGAAGUUUCUUCCGAUAAUUCUUCCAAGACAAGACCAACUUUGAAAUAAUAGCGCCGACUUGUAAAAAUUCUAGAAUAACAACAUUCAAGUCACGGAGCCUGCUUACAAGGACUUGACUUGAUCCAUGAUUAGGAUACUAUCGAGCAUUUUGAAUUUGAAAUACUUCAUCAUUAAAAAUUUAUCAGUACCUUGUCAUUCGGUGUUAUAUUUCUCUUCAAGAGCUUUCCAUAUUUUUAUCAGGGAUUGCAUCAACAUGUAGAGAUCAUACAAUCGAUUAGACAAGGUGUUGAGGAUGUGUCAUCGACAUGUGAAAUUGUCUUUUUCGCUCUUUUUCUUGAGUUUAGCCACUUUCGCAAUUUUCUCAGGGUUUACAUUGGGGGCAGGAUCCUCCACAGGUUGUAGGUUUGGAUCCAGAACAUAUGCCACAUUUAAGACAAUAAGAAGCAACAACAUCUUAUCCUUCUAGCAAUUGAAGUUUGAACCAUCAAAUCGGUCAAGUUUCACAAACUCUUGGUUCAUCACUUUGAAUGCGAUGGUAGCCUCUGCUGCCAUCUCCAAAUUAGUUCUCUUUGAUUGUUGGAAAAUAUUGAGUGGAGAAGAUAGAUCCAGAGAUGAUAUUGAAUUAAACAGUAGACUUUGAGGCGCGGGUGACACUUUCCAAAGAGAAUUGUUUACCUCAACACAAAGUUGCUAGAGGGUUAAGACAAAGGUCCUCUUGGAAUAAAAACAAAGCUUUUGAAUUUCCUUUUAUUAGAAAAAUCGAAGAAUUCUAUAACUCUUACUCUAAUUUCUAAAAACAAGAUUGAUUGUAAUUGUAUUUUUGAGGACUAUAACCCUCUAUUUAUAUAUAAUCAAUGAACACUAUUUUAGAGAGUCACAAUCAUUUACAUUUGAUUUCCAUUGGACAUACUUCUUAUAAAAACAUGUCUCAUUGAAUCAAAUGUAUCAUUUGAAUAAAUCAUUACUUUCUAAUAAUUGAUCAUCAAAAAUUAUGAAUUUGCAAUUUACAAUUUCCAACAAAAAAAAUUCUAAUCACUGCAGAAAAAAAAAACUAAUUAGGUUUUACUUAGAGUAAAAAGAAAAUUGAAAGAAUAAAAAAAUGAAAUAUAUAUAAUUAUUUAUUUUCUUUGGAGUACUUGGUAGGAAGGAUGAAAAUUUUGAAAGAAAUAAUUUUCUUCCCAUUAAUUGCUCACUAUAGUUGAAAAGUAAGAAAAUGAAAUAAAACUUUUGAAAAAUGCAUAAUUCGAACUAACAUAUUUGCAAUUCUCAUUUUCUCUUCUCUUAUAAUUCGAAUUUGGAAGGAUAAAUAAAUAAUUAACACAAAUCCCACAAGCCUUUACAUGUUGAGAGUUUCCUACAACCAUAUGAUAAACAAGAGGAGUCAAAUUCGAAAUUCUAUUUUAAAGAGAAGUGAUAUUUAUCCGGACUAUUGCAAAUUAGCGUCAAUGACUGAAAUCAACUUCCUUCUCAUGAGGAGUUUUAUUCAUUACGGCACCUUCACUGACAACAUCCAUCAUAUUUCUUUCCAUAGGUUGGAGUCCUUCAUAAAAACAUUGGAUGACUAAAUGUUUCGAAAUUCUAUGUUAUAGGCAACUAGCACAUAGUUGUUUAGUCGAUUCUCGGAACGAAUGAGAUUUGUAAAGUGUCUAGAAAUACAUGCCAUAUAAAUCUGUGAUAGUGUGAUGUGUAUGAUCCGAUCUAAUCUUUGUUUUACAUAUAGACAGAAAUAAUUUUCAAUCGAGCUAUUUCAUAAAGUGUUGAAAGUGACACUAAGGUGUCUGAGUAAGAAUGUGUUUAUGAUGAGUCGAAACUUGGAAAGGUAUGAAGAAGAGUUCAUGAUAUGGAUGUGAUGAGGUACGAAAUGAAAUAGUCAUAAAUCGAGAAAUAUAAGAAAAGUGAAAUGAAAUGGAAGUUUAUCUUGUGAUGAGCGCAUCUAUGUUUAUGUGACAUUCAUAUGAUAUUAUGUGCCUGACUUGUUUGAUUAAGUAAAUGCUAUAAGUAAACUUACUCAAAAUUCAUGGAAUGUAUGUUUAAGUACACUUGUUUGAAAAGGAUAAUUGAAAAAUUCGGGUAACAUAAUUAUGUAUGUUAAUUUGCUUGAAGUGAAUUAUGUAAUUGUGAGGAUAUGAUGUUGAUGAUAAAUGCUAAGUCAUAUGAGUGUAUUUAUGAGAGUCCAGUUAGAGGCUUUACGACCUCACCCCCUUAUCAAUGUGGUAUUUUAUAACAAAAAUUCACGAUAAUUAUGUUGAAUAGUUCACAAGUGUGAAACUAAAGAGUACAGUAGUGGAAUAAUUAAAAAUGCAGACGGAGUUAAAAAUAGUUUGACAAGUGAACACAGUUUUGAAAAAGAUAUCAAAUUAUUUUAAAGAUUAUUCAAAUUACGUAAUGUCACGGUUAAAGAAUAAGUUAACCUCGGCUAAUCGACUUAUUCAGAUAUGAUGUCUAAAAUAUGUGUUUGCUGAAUUUUUUUUCGAAUUGGUUUUCGUUAGGGAAUGGAAUGAUGCAGGGUUCAUGAUGAUAGAAUUAGUAAGAGAAAUGAUAAUUGAGUAGAAAAGAUGUCUGUGUGUGUGACAGUUAUAGUUGAAACGAAUAUGAUGAUCUUUUUUAGGUAUUAUAUAUAUUCUUUUAUCCUCAAGUGUAUGUGUGUGGUUAUUCAAUUUUUGAUGGAGUUCUUAUGUUGUGAGAAUGCUAGCUAACUAUGAUGUUAGACAAAAGCCCUAUUGGUCUGGUCGGUUUAUGAUAAGUAUUUCUUCAUCUCUUUGGAAUUUUAUUCUAAUAUGUUAGAAUGAAGUCGAUGGUAAAAAAAUAAAUAAAUAAAAAUAAAUAAAAAUAUUCGAGGUUCAAUCGAAUUGUGAUUUUGAGAAGUUAGUAAAAGUGUUUCAUGAGUGUUGAAAGCAACUUCUUCUGAUAAGAUUUUCGGGGAUGAAAAUCCCUAAAGGGGGGAGAGUUGUAACAGUCUAAUUUUCAGUGGUGUCGGAACAGUGAUUCGAGAUCACUAAAUCAGACAAAUGAGUAGGAAAUAUUAUUAAUUUAGUGAGUAUAAGUUAAAUGUGAAGUUAGGAAAAAUUUUGAAGUACUGAAUAGUGUACUAAAAAUAAAUAUUAAAAUAAUUAGAAUCGAAAACGAGGUAUCGAGACCUCGAGAAUUUUAAAUCGAGCCAUAAAUAUUUUUAUAAAUAUUUAUGGAGUGUUAAUAAGUUAGUAUUAAAGUUUCGUCAAGAAAUUUUAAAGUUCUGAUAGUUAAUUGAACAAAAAGGACUAAAUUGUAUUAAAUGCAAAAUUGUGGGAAAUGAUUAAAUAGCUUAAAUGAUAAAAGAAAGAUGGUUUAAAAGGAAAAUAGACCCAAGGUCUCUUUGGGCUGGACGGCAAUGGCAUGAAAUCAGCAAGAAAAUAAGGAGAAUUAAGGGAAAAAUUGGAAAAUUGCAAAAUUUACUUAAUAAAGCUAGGACUAAAGUGGAAUUAUCUAGAUUUCUCUUUAUUUUUUCUGCAUUCUCAUCAGCAAAAACACCAUGGAAGGGUUCCCUUAAGCUUUUGUUUUCAUAUUUUUACUUCAGGUAAGUUCAAUUAUUGAUUAUUUCUUGAAUUUUUUGUGUUUUUGUGACUUUUACAACUAGGUCCACUUGUUAAAUUCAUUAGUUUUUGAUUCUAUGAAAGAAAUUGAAAGUUUCCAUGAAUAUGUGCUAGAAGUAUAUGAUGAUUUGACAUGGAAUUAGAGCUUUAAGUUGUUUAUUUGCUGAUUUUAUUGAAAGAAUUGAAUAGAAAGUGAAUGUUUGGGACCUAAUUGUAAAAGAGUUUGAAGUUAGAGUUUUAUGUAGAAAUUCUGAAAUUAAAUAGUUAUGAAAUAACUUAUAAUGUCUAGGAAAAGUAUUAAUUGAGAAAAUUAUCUUAAUUGAGGGGUUAAUUGAGCAAGGACUGAAUUGUAUGAAUUGUGAACUUUGGGGCAAAAUAGAAAUCAACAUUUUGCACUAAAACUGUUUUGGACAACAGCAGUAGUCUAACUUUGAAAAAUCACCAAAAAUUGUAUAAAUGGAAUUAGAGGAUGAAUAAAAUAUUCAAUUAAAGCUUAUUUAGUCUAGUUUCUUAUAGAAGAAAUGAUGUAAGCAAUGGAAUUGUAAAUCAUGAGAUAUGAUAAAUUUUGUGAGACAAGGUCAGAAUGAUUUCGGGUUCCCUUGUUCUUACUUUGUAAAAUCAUAAAAAAUUUGAUAAAAAUAAUUAUGGGCUUAAAUUUAUAUGUUUAGAAUCCUGAAUGAGUCUAUUUUCAAGAGAAACAAAUGGUAACAUCAUUCGAAAUUAUGAAAUAACAGAACAGGGGAGACUUUAAUGAAUAAACUGUAUUAAUUGGCCCAACCAAAAAUUAUGAAAUUUUUAUGGUAAGAAGAUAUAUGAGUCUAGUUUCAUGGAAAAUUAGAGGAUCUUAAUUUUGAGUUCCGUAGUUCCAGAUAUAAAUAAUUUAGUGACUACGACACGGGUGGAUAGUCUGAAUAUUCACAUAAGUAAUUAGUGAAAAUUAUAGAUAAGGUUACUUACGAGUGUGUUAUUUAUACCAAGGAUGUGGAUGGAGAGGAGGAGGAGGAAAAAUAUAUGAAUGACUCGUGUAUAAAUUAAACACAUGCCCGAUUAUAAUCGAUAAGUGUUGGAUUAGAAAUGAUAUAAUGUUUUAUGUGGAAUAUUUAUUAUGAAAUUAUGAUUAUCGUUAUAAUACAAAAUUUGUACUUGUGAGUUUAUAUGGAUAAAUUUUAGUGAUUAUUUGUUAAUUUUAUGAAUUUCAUGAUGUGUUAUUUCAUAUGUAUUAAUGAUAAAAUCGUGAAUGAUGUAAAAGCAUGAAAAUUGAAUAAAUGAUCAAAUUGAGCAUUUUAGUUCAGUGACAAGAUGAAUUGAAGGAAAAGACCAUAGUUGGACCAUGGCAACAAGUGAUAAGUGAUAGCUUCGGCUACACUUAUCUGAUCAAGGAUAAGUGGAAGUGAUAAGUAAUAGCUUCAGCUACACUUAUCUGAUCAAGGAUAAGUGAAAGUAAUAAGUAAUAGCUUCGGCUACACUUAUCUGAUCAAGGAUAAGUGAAAGUGAUAAGUAAUAGCUUCGGCUAUACUUAUCUGAUCAAGGACAAAUGACAAGUGAAAAGUGGUAGCUUCGGCUACCUGAUCAGUGAAAAGUGGUAGCUUCGGCUACCUGAUCAGUGAAAAGUGGUAGCUUCUGCUACCUGAUAAGUGAAAAGUGGUAGCUUCUGCUACCUGAUCAGUGAAAAAUGGUAGCUCCGACUACCUGAUCAAUGAAAAAUGGUAGCUCUGGCUACCUGAUCAGUGAAUAGUGGUAGCUUCGGCUACAAGUGACAAGUGAUUUCCGUAUAAGACCAUAUCUGGGAUAUGGCAUCAGUGAGAUAUGUGAUUCGUGUAAGACCAUAGCUGGGCUAUGGCAUCGAUAUGUGAUAUGUGAUUACGUGUAAGACUAUAGCUGGGCUAUGACAUCGAUAUAUGAAGAUGUGUAAGACCAUAGUUGAACUAUGACAUUGAGUACUCAAUUCCGUAAGACGUUCACUAAUUUGACAAAGUUUGGUAAGUGUUACAUGGAAUUAUGUGAUACAGGAAGUACGAAUUGAUAAGAUAUGAGUAUAGAACUUGGUUGAUAAAUGAAUUCAUUUGUGAUUAUAUAAUUGUUCAUCUUGAAUGUAUUGUCCAUAUGUAUUGAUAAUUCAAACGUAUUAAUGAAUAAAGUUCCGACAUUAAAUAAAUUGAACACGAGACAAAUAAUUAUAAAAUUGAACUCGGAAUUCAUGAAAAUGAUGAUUAUUGAUAUAUAGAGACAUGAGACAUUGGUAUAUGAAUAUGGAAAAUAUUUGAUAAAUGUGUUUAUUCAUAAUUAUGGAAUUAUAUACCUCAUGUGUACUAUUUGCAUAAAGAUGAUAUUUCAAAUACUUUGGUUAUUUAAGCUUAAAUAUGAAACAGUAUGAAAUCAAGAUAAGUUGUUAUAAAAAUAUAUUUAGAUUACAGAGAUAUGGCUGAUAUAUGUUGUAUGAUUACAUAACGUGAAAUUGUGUAUAUAUAUGAGAAAUUUAAUGAGAAAUGAGCCCAUACACGUUUCUUGUUAUUUAUAUGAAGUGUACGACUGACAAGGGUGAUGAAGUUAUAAACAGAGAGUUACACGGGUUGAAAACACGGGCGUGUGACUCUCUAAAGUGUGAAAAUUUUCUAAAGUGUUGCAAAAGUUUCAUAUGUUUAUGGUUUGGUCCCAAACCACCCUAAAUGUAUGUUUUGGGCCCCAUAGGCCCAUAUAAGGGACGUUAAACAUAUGUAUGAAAGUUUUUAAUUUAGAAGAAAUUUUAUGGCUGAUUUUUACAUGUGAAGACUCUUCAUGUCGUUCUACUUGAUGCCACAACUUUUUUUCUUGAUAGAUGUAACACCUCUAACCCGUAUCUGUCGUUGGAUAAGGGUUACAGAGCAUUACCAUACAACCGAAAACAUUUAAACUUAAUAUCAUUCAAUAAUAUAAUCACAUCAUAAAUCAAUUAUAUAAAUACAUACCGUCCUUAAAUCGAGCCAUCGAGGCCCUAAAAAACAUCUUAGAAGUAAAUUGAGACUAAUUUAAAAAAUUUGGAAAGCUUAGGAAAAACAUGUAAAAUUUGCAAAACAGGGGUCAUACACCCAUGUGCCAAGCCGUGUAACUCACUGAUUUGCACCUUAAAGAAAUCAUCAAAUGACACAUGGCCAUGUCGUUAGGCUGUGUGUCUCACACGGUUGAGUCACACAUCCGUAUGGACCCAAAUUUACCUCAAAUCAAGCCAUUUCAAAACCAUCUCAUGCUUUAACAUUUAGACCAAUUUUGUACACUUUCAAAGCACCAAAAGUUCACCUAAACACACAUACAUUUGCCACUUCCAAAAUCUUAAUUCAACUAACCAAUAUCCCAAUCAAGGUACCACAAUUAAUAUCAAAAUAUCACCUACCUGGACAUGUUCAUAUGCCUAAUUCUAUGCAGACAAUUCUAGACCAUUUAAGUAUUAAAAUAUACCUCAUUUAGCCAUUCCCAAAACAUACAAAACAUACCAUAAAAAACCAUUAUCAAGCAAUAAAAACUUACCAAAAGAACCUUAUAUACAUGCACUUAUAAGUGACCAAAAUGACUUACUUAGGCAAGCAUUAUAAGUUCAUCAACAAACCAUAAGCAUCAAAGCACAAACAUACCAAGUUACCAUUUUACAUGUUUAUCAAAAACGCCAUUAUAAACCAUCCUAUACAUGUUACCCUAUACAUGCCAUUAUAAACCUUAACCAAAUUACUAAAAAACUACCGAAUUGUCCACUGGAUAGUGUGAUAGAUCUCUGACAAGCUUCCAAACUGAUCGAGUUUCUGACAAUCUAUAAAACAAAAGAAAAUGAUUACGUAAGCAAUGAAUGCUUAGUAAGCUCGUAUGAACUUAGAACAUAACUUACCAUUUCAAUAAUGAAAUUUAUAGAAUAAGUACAAACCGUUACCAAUGCCAUAAGGUUAGUAAAAGCCUAUAUAACAUUAUCAAUCUCACAAGUUACUAUAUUUGUUCAUAAUUCACAUGAAAUCAAUCACGUAUAAUAUAACAUUUAAUUAAUCAUCCUUACUAUAUGAUCAUGUUUCAUUCCAUUUACUUACUUAUUGUUUCCAAUACCAUGAGUUUAAUAUAAGCUUAUUCAAGCAUCAUCAUGCUUACAUAUUAGUAGAUUCAUUGAUAAUCUUUUAAACUCAUUUAUAACAUAAAUAGAUUUCAUAAGAUACAUUACAUAAGCAUAAACCUUUUCAUACCGUUAUGAACCUUUCCAUUAAGUCACCUAUCGUUUCAUUCCUUUUCUUACCCGUUGAACCAUAUAGAAUUACAUAUACUCGGGAAAGCUCACACGAAGUGUACCUUUACAUAUAAUCAUAAUCUUUCCUUUACAUCAAUUCUCACACGAGUUGUGGAAUGGGCAUGCUCACACAAGCUGUGGGUCAGAAUAUAAGUUAUACGAUGUUGCUCACAUGAGUUAUGGAGAAUCCACAACAAAUGUAGGAUCCCAAUUAUCGGUAGGACAUUCAAGACCAACACCUGAAACAUGAAAUCCCUAAUGACAUGUCAUUUGUAUCCUAAGAAUUCUUAAGGUUCAACCGAGACUCGAUAUCCAUCAAUUCGUCAUAAUAUGGAUACGUUCACAUAUAUAUUGAUUCAUUUUCAUUAAAUACAACAUAGUAAACAUUUAAUUAAAUUAAUAUUAUAAUGAUUACAGUUCAUACAAACUUACCUAACUAAAUUGCAGCAAUGACUAAGUACAGGGGCUAUUUGGUAAUUUUCUCUUCUCCUCGAUUUUUCACUCAUUCUUGAUCUAAAAUAAUAGUUCCAUUCAAUUCACUAAUUCUAACAAAAAAAUCAAAUUCAUUUUUAUGCAAUUAAUUCAUUUUUGAUAUUUUACAAAAUUUCCCCAAAAUUUAUCCUUUUUGCAAUUUACUCUCUAAACCUGAAACUUGCAAUUUCAUUAUUUUUAAUAUAAAUCACGCUAGCCAAUUUUUACCCAAUCUUAUAACAGCCCAUAUUUAUUCAAAAUUUACAAUAUUUUCCUUGAAUUUUACCAUUUUCAUAAAUCAAUCCCUAAACUUGAAAAUCAUCAAAAAAUACUUAACAAAAUACUUAUAUUCAACAACCAAGCUUAAUAUCAUAAAAUUCCAAGAACAUCACAAAUUCACCCAUAGUAAAUUUCUGUAUACUUAACAAUUUAACAAAUUAACCCUCAGAUUAACUAGAUUAAGUUAAUACGAUACCAUAAAUAUCAAAUCCAUUAAAACCGGGUAGAAAUUACCUACCAUGCAUGAAGAAAUAGCUUUUUAGCUUGGCUUCCAUGGAGUAUUUGGUUAGACAAAGAAAGAGAUUAAAAAUGAAAAAGAUGAUGAUAGGUUUCAUCUUUUAUUUUAAUUUUACUUAUUUACCAAUUUACCUUAUUAACCUUUUUAAACCAUUUAAAUUUCAAUAAAAUUUAUCCAUAUUUAUCCACUAAUAUAAAAAAGGUAUAUUUACCUUUUAAAACCCUUAGCUUAUGGUUCUUUAGCCAAUUAAUACAAUUAAGCUAAUAGCAAUUGACUUUUGUAUCCUUUACAAUUUAGUCCUUUUUAAUUAAUUAACUAUCUAAACAUUAAAAUUUUUUAACCAAAUUUUAAGACGGCCUUAAUAACAUUCCGUAAAUAUUUUAUUAAAUAUUUAUGGCUCGAUUUAUAGAAACGAGGUCCCGAUACCUCAUUUUUUAAAACUACUUGACUUUAUAGUCAUAUCAGUUGGACCUAAUUAUUCAUUCAAAUAACAUAAUUUUCCAAUUCAAAAUUUAUUUUAAUACUAUAAUUAACUCAUAAAUAUUUAAUAAUAUUUACGAGCUCACUUGUCGAAUUUGUGACCCCAAAACUACUAUUUUUGACACUACUAAAAAAUCAAGCUAUUAAAAUAGAAGUAGCACGUCAAGUAGAAAAGAAUUAUCAAGAAAUAACCUUAUUAUGUCAAUUCAUGUGGUUAUAGAUUCAGGAGGUAAAUAAAAUAGUCAAUUCUUCACCUUGUCGGCUAGCGAAGAGGGUAAGGCUCUUAGUUUGAUUUGCUCUUUGAUCAGUCAUUGCCGUCUCAUAGUAGAACACACUACAUAAAAGCCCUUCAAGCACUUAUGAGGAUCUUCGUUUGUUUGACCAUGAAAAGUAAGCAAUAAAUGAAUUAGUCCAGAUUUUAAUUCAAAAGAUACCUCUAAUUUAGGAUAUUGAUGCACAACUGUUGUUGCUUCAGAUUCUACGUAGCUAACUCUCUCAUUGUUGGUUCUAAACGAGCCAUUGGUUCUUCUCCUUUUUGAUUUGGUAGAUGAAGGCGACUGGUUAAUUCUCUCUUGAACUCCCUUCCUUAGUCUUCGAGCAGUUUUCUCAAUCUCAAAAUUGUAUUAGAGUUCACCUACAUGAGAAGACCAAAAUUUUAAUUAAUAUAUUUUAUGGUUGAGCAAAAAGAAAGACUGAAGCAUAAAAAGGAACAUAAACAAAAUAAAAUUAAAAAUAAUAGAUAGAAAAAAGUAUUAAAAUUAAUCCUCGACAAAAACGCCAAAAUUUGUACAGUUUUCAAGACCUAAAAAAGUAAAAUUCUAUUAAAAAAAUAUAAAUUUAGUACAUAGCAGUGAGUAGAGUCAUAUUUAUAGAGAUCGGUAAUAAUUUUAUUUCUUAAAUAAAAAAAAGGAAAAUAAAUAUGAUGGGGGUUUAGAAAAUAAAAUACUAAAAUUAAAUUUAAAUGUUAACCAAGAAGGUAAUAAUUAAAAUUGAAGAAAACCAACAUGAUGAAGCUCUAGCCAAAUGUAAAAUAUAUCUUUGAUUCACAAGUUUAAUCAUUGAUGCAUAGAUAAUUUUAUUGUUUUUUAAUAAACUAGUUAUAGUUGCUGAUGUCACGCUUAGCAAUCAGUCUCUUUUUUACCUUAUCGAUAACCAAAAGCUCGUUGAAAUUAUUCCCCUUAUCAAUGAACAACCCCAUAAUUUUACCCUUAGAAUUUAGUUUACUGAUAAAAUUACGAACAAGAUAAACUUAAUUUUAACCAACAAACGCACCAAAUAGAGUUUAUUUAAGCUAGAUCGCAUGUGUACACAACAUUGAUUGCAUACGUAAUUAUGGUAUUUUUCACAAGCAUUAGAAUGAAUUAAAUAAUUAUAAAUUUUUUUUAUUGACAAAGUAAAUAUUCUAAGUUAUCAAAUAUGAGUCCUAUAUUUAAAAAAAAACCUAAAUAUUUGUAAUUAAAUUAAAAAAACAUGUGAAUACUAAAGAAGAAAAAAACAUGUAAAUUUUCACAUAGAAACUGUCAGGCUAGGCCAUUUUUAGACACUUUUGGACUUUUUUUGAGUUUGAGUUGUGAAAUAAUUUUAGUUAAAAUUUUCAAUUCCAUAUGAAAUGGUAUAUUAUAAAUUCAAAAUAAAACUUUAUAAUUUAAGUUAUAUGACUAAAAUAUUACAGCAGUAUAAUGAUGAAAGUCUAAACUACAAAAUUUACCAAAAAAGUUGUAAUAUCUUUUUCUCCCAAUAUUUCCAUAAAUCUAUAAUAUAAAAAACAUAAAAUUAAAUAAUAUAAUUAACAACUUAAAUAAUAUAAUUGAAUAGUAUAAUUCAAGAAUAUUACAAAUAAAUUAAUAUUGAUGCACUUAUAGAAACCAAGGCUUCCGCUCAAUCACGAGAGACGCUUUCCCAAGACAAUCUUACCGUAAUCAAAAGGAGGUCAAUCCACAACCGGCUAAGCCUUAACCUAAACCAUGCUGUUCAUCAAGAUUAAAUAUCUCAUCGAAAAAGUCGUCCUGUUGUCUUUUGGGUUGCUAUUAGCUCCAUUGGCCAUGGAUUCUACAAGAAAGUUGUGUUGACAUUGAUGAUUUGGUUUAAGCUAUUGGUACCAGUAUUGUCAAAGCGUCAGGUAGAAUGUAUAACAGAUGGCUUGACCAUUGCUGACUUUUACCAAUCCAGCAUGUUUUAAAACUUGGUGGUAGUUGCUGCUACUGGUUAUGUAUCGAGUUGCUGGGAUACUAGUUAUGUUUCAUUGUGCUAUUGGAAACAUGGUUUGUUGUUGGGAGUUUAUUUGUUGUCAGAUUUUCUAUGUUAUGGUUCCUGGUUUGUUGUUUGAUGAUUCGAUGGAUGGAUGCAGAAGUUGGAGAAACCAUAGAGUAUAAAUUUAGUCAAAAGAUAAAAUAGUAAAGGCCAUUUUGUUUUAUUUUUCCAUAAUAUUAUACAAAUAGUCACCAUGUAUAUAUACAUGGCACUGACAUGAUUGUGAAGGCCUACACACUUUCUAAUGGUUCUACUGGCUAUCAAAUUUUUUUACUAUAAUAGUAAUACAGGUAAUGCAGCAGCAAGUAUCACACUAUUAUUUAAUUUUGAUAGCCUUAAUUACCACCACAGCUUGAUGAAGAAGCAAAGGCAGUUAUGCCUCUAACUCAAAUGAUGCCUUCAUUGUGGGUGAACGACUCACGGGAUCAAUUUCAAUAGAUGCAUUGUAUCCAAACUUUGUAACUUUAAAUUUUGGUUUUCCUCUUUUCUCAAGGUUGGUUUUGAUUUGCCCCCAGUGAACAGGUUGUCUCUGGAUAUCAGUAUAGACCUGCAGCAUGCAUGCAAAUGGCAUGCAAAUGGUCAUAGAUUAAAUGAUUAUAUAUACGCAUUCUAACUAGUUAAUUAAUGAUAAGAUUGAAUUGAAUGCAACAAAUACCUUGCUGUUCUCAUCUAGUGGGUUGCUCCAGGCAACAACCCACUUGGUUCCAUCACGUCGCCUGUACACAAGACCAGCAACUGAACCAUGACUAUCAGCAUCAUCAGUCACUGAUUCAUGUGUAAACUCACUCGAAUCUCCAUCUUCAAUUAUUUCUGGGAAAUCCGCAUAAUGAGAGCCUUGCCAAACUUUCUUGUCAGUCAAGGUUAGAGCUUCGCUGGAAGAGUUCCAAAGCUUGCCGUUUGUGCAUUGUUGAGCUCUUUUCAUUUGAAAAUUAGCCAUGGUAGCUUUGUAUGUGCUUUGGUUAGCUAAAGUUUGUUUUGGUUGUGUUAUGCUUCAAAUAUUGCAAUACACACCUACUUAUAUACUAGUUUACACCAUGCAUGCAUUGUCCAUAACAACAACGUUUAUGCGCAUGAAAUUAUUUGACUUCAUUCACAUUAAAACUUUUUUAUAUUCUUUUUCCCUUUUUUUAUUCAUAUUCUUGAUGUGUCUUUUCACUUUUAAGUACAAAUUCUUUUCAAUUAAAGAAAUAUUUUUAAAGUAUUUGGAUUUUUUUGAUAAAGUAUUAUUUUUUAAAUUAAAUAAUUAACAAUAUAAAGGUAAACUACUUUCAUUAUGAUCUAAACUAUUAGUAAGUUUAUGUUUGGUUAUUCAAUUUAAAAAAAACAAGCUACAAAUUGAAUAUUAAACUAUUCAAAAAGUUUAUUUAAGUCAAUGAGCUAUUAAAGUUGUUGUUGUAUGACCUUCUCUAUUUGCACCACCUGUAUCUAUCAAAAGUUCUCAUUCCCCUUCUCUUCUACAAUUCACUUUUUUCUCAAGAAAUAACUUUUAACCUCGUGAAUCUGCGAACCAAAAUUCAAACAAAUUUUUUCUCCCAUCACUGACAUUGAUAGUCAAAUCAACUUGGAUAUAAAAUAUGUUCUACUACUUGUUAAUGGUUUUUGAUCCACCAUACCGAUCAUUGAAUCAUUGCUUGAAGCUUGCUAGCAGGACUUUAAAAUAAAACUUUAAUAACCUAGUGACUUCAAUAAAAACUUUCAAAUAGUUCAAUGACCAUUUUAUAAUUAUUUAAAAUUGAAUAACUAAAACAUAAAUUUACUAAUAAUUUAAUAUGAAUAAAAUAUAAUUGUUGGGGACUCAAACUAAACUCACAUCACAUAAUUAAAUAAAUAAUUUCAGCGGAUGUAUUACAUAAAAAAAUUAGUACAUAAUAAAAAAAGUCAUCUCAAAAUUAAAAGCUUCAAAAACAUACUUAAAUCUUAAUUAUAUAUUUUUAAGAAUUAUUGAAAUAAUUUUCUUUUACUAACUAGUGUCAGUUUCUAGUACUUACACAACUCCAUGUACAUCAUUAUCCUGGUAACCUAAUAGUCACCAAAGCAUAAGUAUACAUACAACUAGCGUGACUUAAACCCAAGCCACAACUGGAAUGAUGAACACCUUUAACUAUCAAGCUAUUACAUGAGAUUCAUAUUAAAUUUUAAUAUGUUAAUGAUAUGUUUGAAAUAUUUUUUAUAUUGAUACUGUAUUUGUAUUAAUAAUUAAAUAACUUUAAAUGUAAUUUAAUUUUAAUAACAUUAACCAUUUUUCCAUUAAACUUUGAAUCCCUUUGAAAAAAAUAGUGAUUUGUGUAUUAAGCAUAAAUUUUUGUUGGAAAAAAAGGGAAUAAAACUUUGCAUUUGAGAUGCUGAAAGGCUAAGGUAUUAAAGCAAUGAGACUUUUAGUAUGGAGCUGAAUUUUGUUAUAUUAUAAAAUAUGCUUUAAGUUUCAAGACAUUAUUAGUGGAGUUAGAUGUGUUUAGGUGACACUUUCAUGAUUUUGACAAGUUAAUUACUUGUUAUAUGCAAUGUUUUGUUUUUCAGUUGAUCAAUGAAUUAUUUUUCAUCAAAAUUCUUCUUGUUUCUGUUUCAAUCCAAGCUAUAUUUUCUUGUUCUUCUAGCUCGUGUUUCUUAUUUUGUUUAGCAAGUCACUAUUGCUUAAAGCUUAAGACUUUGCUGUAAUUGCUUAGUGAUAACUCUCAACUCCAAUAAUUUGUAUCGGGAGCUGAUUUCUUAGAUGACCUUUCUCUUUUCUACUUUAAAAAACAAUGUUUUCAUCAAGUUUCUCUCCAGCACCACCACCAGUAUUCAAUAGUGAAGCCUACCACAUUUGGGUAGUCAAACUGAAAACCUACCUGCAGGCAUUUGACUUUUGGGAAGCUAUCAAUGCUGAUGUUAAACCACCACCCUUGAGAGCUAACCCAUGGUAGCUCAAAUCAGGCAGCACUUUGAUGACAAAGCCAAGAGGUAUAAGGCAAUGUCAUGCAUCCAAAACAGUGUGUCAGACUUGAUUUUCACAAGGAUCAUGGCCUGUGAGACUCUAAAACAGGCUUGGGACAAGAUUAAAGAAGAGUUUCAAUGCACUGAAAAAACAAGACAACAACAAAUUUUAAACUUAAGAAGGGAUUUUGAAAACCUAAAGAUGAAUGAGUCAGAGAUAGUUAAACAAUACUCAGACAGGAUUAUGGCUAUUGUGAACAGCAUCAGAUUGCUUAGAGACCAAUUCAGUGAAGCCAGAAUAGUAGAGAAGGUUAUUUCAACCUUACCAGAGAGAUAUGAAGCCAAAAUCUCUUCCUUGGAAGACUCAAGAGGUCUGUCAAACAUCUCUUUGACUGAACUAGUCAAUGCCCUCUAUGCUCAAGAACAAAGAAGAGCUAGCAGACAGGAUGAGCAUCAAGAAGGUACCUUUUAAGCCAAGAGCAAACCAACAUCGAGCUCCUUUGGCUAUAAAGGGAAGAAAACUUGGUCAAACAAGCCUAGAAGAGAUGGAGCAAGAAGAAGGUAUCCACAUUGCUCUCUUUGUAAAAGGAUUAGCCAUUCAGAAGCAAACUGCUAGUAUAGACCUGAUGUGCAGUGUAAAAUUUGCAAACAAAUGGGCCAUGUUGAGAAAGUGUGCAAGAACAAAAACUAACAAAAGGAACAUCAAACUCAGCAGCCUAAAACAGAAGCUCAAAUGGGAGAAGAGAGUUGUAGUCAGGAAGAACAAGUAUUUUUUGUCUCUUGCUCAGCUACCAAAAGAAAAGCCACAAAAGGGUGGCUGAUUGAUAGUGGUUGCACAAACCACAUGACACCUGAUGCUGCUAUUUUCAAGAGCAUUGAUAGAAGCUUUAACACUAGAGUAAAAGUGGACAAUGGACAUUACAUUAAAGAAGAAAGCAAGGAGAUGUGCUGAUUGACACUCCUUCAAGUACCAAACUUGUUUCUAAUGUUCUAUUAGUACCUGAAAUUGAUAGAAAUUCUAAGUAUUGCUCAGAUUUUUGAAAAGGGAUACUCUGUAGUAUUCAAAGGCAAAGAGUGCCUGAUUAGUGAUCCAAGUGGAUCCAAUCUCAUGUCAGUAACCAUGACUGAUAGAAGCUUUCUUGUUGAUUGAAACAAGAUUUCAGUUAGUGCCUACACAACUGCAUUAGAUGAAUCCAAACUGUGGCACAAAAGGUUUGGCCAUGUCAAUUAUAAGUCUUUACUGCACUUGUCUAAAGAAGACUUUCUUGAAAAUUUCACAAAAACAGUUUGAAAACAGGAUGUUUGUGAAGUGUGUCAGCUAAGAAAGCAAGCUAGACUACCAUUUCCUACUAAUAAGGCCUAGAGGGCCUCUAAAAAAUUGCAAUUUGUCCACACUGAUAUGUGCGGCCCUAUAAAGACUGAAUCUUUGAAUGGCAGCAAGUAUUUCAUCAUUUUCAUUGAUAACUACUUAAGAUUCUGUUGGGGCUAUUUUCUCAAGUAUAAAUCAGAAGUAGCUUCAGUGUUUUCAAAGUUCAAGGCUAUAACAGAAACUCAGUCAUGGUGCAAGCUUAAGACACCAAGGUCAAACAAUAGGACAGAAUACACCUCAGCAGUGUUUCAGACCUUUUGUGAGGAAUCAGGCAUUGAACACCAACUCACCAACACCUAUACACCUCAGCAGAAUGGUGUUAGUGAGAGAAAGAAUCGAACUCUGAUGGAUAUGGCCAGAUGCUUGUGUUUGAAAGGAAUUUGCCAAAAAGCUUUUGGGCUGAGGUAGUUAGUACUGCAAUAUACCUUCAAAACAGGCUACCAACUAAACCACUGCUUGAAAAAACACCAUUUGAAGCUUGGUUUGGGUUCAAACCAUCAGUUUCUCACUUGAAGGUCUUUGGUUGCAUAUGUUAUGCACAUAUUCCUGUAGUCAAGAGGGACAAAUUGGAAAAGAAGUCUCAGCCUAACAUUCUAGUUGGCUAUAGCAAUGUCAAGAAGGGCUAUGAGAUUCUGGAUCCUACAACUUACAAAGUCUUUUUGAGUAGAGAUGUUGUGUUUGAUGAGAGAUCAAGCUAGAAUUGGGAUAAAAGUGAACCAGAAUGUGCUGGUCAAGACUUGGUGACAGGGCAAACCGAAGCUGAUAAAAAAUGUCCUAAGAUGGACAUAUAUCAUGAGCCUGUUAGGGGAACUAGACCACUAAGUGAAAUAUAUGAGAGGGAAAAUGUAACUAUUAUUGAGCCAAUUUGUUUUGAAGAAGCUCAAGCUCAAGAAGGCUAAAGGCAAUCCAUGCUUGAUGAAACGAGCAUGAUUCACAAAAACCAGACCUUAGAGUUAGUUGCAAGACUAGUUCACAAGAAGGUCAUUGGAGUAAAAUAGGUGUUUCAAGCCAAGCAUAAUACUAAUGGAACUUUGAACAAGCUAAAAGCAAGGUUGGUUGUGAAGGGGUUUUGUCAGAAAUAUGGGAUUGACUACCUUGAAACAUUUGCACCAAUGGCAAGGCUUGAUAUAAUCAGAUUAUUGGUUGCAUUAGCUGCUCAAAGGUAAUGGAAAAUACAUCAACAUGACGUAAAAUCUAUCUUCCUCAAUGGAUUUCUUGAUGAGGAGAUAUAUGUUGAACAACCAGAAGGUUUUAAAGUUGCUGGUGAAGAAGACAAAGUUUACAAGCUAAAAAAGGCCUUCUAUGGCUUAAAAUAGGCACUAAGGGCAUGGUAUGACAGAAUUGACACGUAUCUAGCAAGCUUGGAGUUCGAGAGAAGCAUUAGUGAGCAAACACUAUAUGUAAAAAAGGAAGGUGAUGAAACACAGCUCAUAGUCUCCUUGUAUGUGAAUGACUUACUGGUAAUAGUAGGAAAUAACGCUAUGCUGUCUGAAUUUAAAAGCAAGAUGGAGACUGUGUUUGAAAUGUCAGAUUUGGGUGAAAUGUCCUGCUUCCUUGGCAUGGAAGUGUCUUCGACUCAACAAUGAAUUUUCUUAAGCCAAAAGGCAUUUGCCUUGAAAAUUCUGAAUAAAUUCUCCAUGCAAAAUUGCAAGGCAACUAGCACACCAGUUACUGUUGGAGAAAAAUUAUCAAGCCAAUGUGAUUUCGAGAAAAUGAAUGAAUCAACCUAUAGGAGCCUAGUGGGAUGUUUGCUUUACUUAACAGCCACAAGGGCAGGCAUAAUGUAUGCAGUUAGUCUCAUAUCUAGGUUCAUGCACUGUUGCAAUGUGAACUACUUUCAAGCUACAAAGAGAGUCCUCAAGUAUAUUAAAGGCACUCUGAGCUUUGGGAUGAUGUUUACCUAGGUUGACAGCAUGAAGCUCCUUGGUUUUGCUAACAGUGACUAGGCAGGAUUGAUAGAUGACAUGAAAAGCACCUUAGGGUAUCUGUUUACCCUUAGUUCAGCUGUUUUCUAUUGGAGAUCAAAGAAACAGUACAUUGUAGCUCAAUCAAUAGCUGAAGCAGAAUAUGUAACAGCUGCAGAGUAAUUUGGUUAAGGAAGAUCAUGGUAGAUAUAAACUUGCAUCAAAGAGAAGCAACAUAGAUCAAAUGUGACAACCAAUCUGCUGUUGCAAUUGCAAAGAAUCCAGUGUUUCAUGGGAAAACAAAGCAUUUUAAGAUCAAGUUGCAUUUUGUUAGGGAAAUGGAACAAUCUCAAGAAAUCAGACUGGUUUAUUGCAGUUCUGAAGAUCAGUUAGCAGAUUUCUUGACAAAGCAUCUUUGUGUGUCAAGGUUCAAGAAUUUGAGAGCCAAGUUGGGAGUUUGCAGCAUGGAAGCCAAGGAGGACUAUUAGAGGUUGGCUUACAUGCAGCUCUUGAGAUCGGGCCAUGCAAUUAGCAGCUAAAGCACAUGCAGCUGUCAUUUUGAUGUUUUUGAUGAUGUCUUGUUUUAGUUACAAUUGAACUAAGUUUGUAAUGAAUUUGUUGUAAUUUGGUGCUGAUAGAUUUGAUAAAUCAACUUAACCAAGCGUGCAAGCAAUGUUUUAUAAGUUUCAAGACAUUGUUAGUAGAGUUAGGUGUGUUUAGGUGACACUUUCAUGAUUUUGACAAAUUAAUUACUUGUUAUAUGUAAUGUUUGGUGUUUCAGUUGAUCAAUGAAUCACUUUUUAUCAAAAUUCUUGUUUCUGCUUUAAUCCAAGCUAUCUUUUCUUGUUCUUCUAGCCCGUGUUUCUUCUUUUGUUCAGCAAGUCACUAUUGCUUAAAGCUUAAGACUUUGCUGUAAUUGCUUAGUGAUAAGUCUCAAGUCCAACACAUGGUUUGUUGGUGGGAGUUUAUUUGUUGUCAGGUUUUCUAUGUUAUGGUUCCUGGUUUGUUGUUUGAUGAUUCGAUGGAUGGACGCAGAAGUUGGAGAAAAGAUAGAGUAUAAAUUGAGACAAAAGAUAAAAUAGUAAAGGCCAUUCUGUUUUAUUUUUCCAUAAUAUUAUACAAACAGUCAACCAUGUAUAUACACAUAGCACUGACAUGAUUGUGAAGGCCUACACACUUUCUAAUGGUUGUACUGGCUAUCAAAAUUUAUUACCAUAACAGUAGUAAAGGUAAUGCAGCAGCAGGCAGCACAUUAUUAUUUAAUUUUGAUAGCCUUAGUUACCAGCAUAGCUUGAUGAAGAAGCAAAGGCAGUUAUGCCUCUAACUCAAAUGAUGCCUUCAUUGUGGGUGAACGACUCACGGGAUCAAUUUCAAUAGAUGCAAUGUACCCAAACUUUGUAACUUUAAAUUUUGGUUUUCCUCUUUUCUCAAGGUUGGUUUUGAUUUGCCCCCAGUGAAUAGGUUGCCUUUGGAUAUCAGUAUAGACCUGCAGCAUGCACGCAAAUGGCAUGCAAAUGGUCAUAGAUUAAAUGAUUAUAUAUACGCAUUCUAACUAGUUAAUUAAUGAUAAGAUUGAAUUGAAUGCAACAAAUACCUUGCUGUUCUCAUCUAGUGGGUUGCUCCAGGCAACAACCCACUUGGUUCCAUCACGUCGCCUGUACACAAGACCAGCAACUGAACCAUGACUAUCAGCAUCAUCAGUCACUGAUUCAUGUGUAAACUCACUCGAAUCUCCAUCUUCAAUUAUUUCUGGGAAAUCCGCAUAAUGAGAGCCUUGCCAAACUUUCUUGUCAGUCAAGGUUAGAGCUUCGCUGGAAGAGUUCCAAAGCUUGCCGUUUGUGCAUUGUUGAGCUCUUUUCAUUUGAAAAUUAGCCAUGGUAGCUUUGUAUGUGCUUUGGUUAGCUAAAGUUUGUUUUGGUUGUGUUAUGCUUCAAAUAUUGCAAUACACACCUACUUAUAUACUAGUUUACACCAUGCAUGCAUUGUCCAUAACAACAACGUUUAUGCGCAUGAAAUUAUUUGACUUCAUUCACAUUAAAACUUUUUUAUAUUCUUUUUCCCUUUUUUUAUUCAUAUUCUUGAUGUGUCUUUUCACUUUUAAGUACAAAUUCUUGUCAAUUAAAGAAAUAUUUUUAAAGUAUUUGGAUUUUUUUGAUAAAGUAUUAUUUUUUAAAUUAAAUAAUUAACAAUAUAAAGGUAAACUACUUCCAUUAUGAUCUAAACUAUUAGUAAGUUUAUGUUUUGGUUACUCAAUUUAAAAAAACAAACUACAAAUUGAAUAUUAAACUAUUCAAAAAUUUUAUUUAAGUCACUGAGCUAUUAAAGUUAUUGUUGUAUGGCCUUCUCUAUUUGCACCACCUGUAUCUAUCAAAAGUUCUCAUUCCCCUUCUCUUCUACAAUUCACUUUCUUCUCAAGAAAUAACUUUUAACCUCGUGAAUCUGCGAACCAAAAUUCAAACAAAUUUUUUCUCCCAUCACUGACAUUGAUAGUCAAAUCAACUUGGAUCUAAAAUAUGUUCUACUACUUGUCAAUGGUUUUUGAUCCACCAUACCGAUCAUUAAAUCAUUACUUGAAGCUUGCUAGCAGGACUUUAAAAUAAAACUUUAAUAACCUAGUGACUUCAAUAAAAACUUUCAAAUAGUUCAAUGACCAUUUUAUAAUUAUUUAAAAUUGAAUAAAUAAAAGUUAAAUUUACUAAUAAUUUAAUAUGAAUAAAAUAUAAUUGUUGGGGACUCAAACUAAACUCACAUCACAUAAUUAAAUAAAUAAUUUCAGCGGAUGUAUUACAUAAAAAAAUUAGUACAUAAUAAAAAAAGUCAUCUCAAAAUUAAAAACUUCAAAAAUAUACUUAAAUCUUAAUUAUAUAUUUUUAAGAAUUAUUGAAAUAAUUUUCUUUUACUAACUAGUGUCAGUUGCUAGUACUUACACAACUCCAUGUACAUCAUUAUCCUGGUAACCUAAUAGUCACCAAAGCAUAAGUAUACAUAUAACUAGCGCGACUUAAACUCAAGCUACAAUUGAGAUGAAUACCUUUAACCAUCAAGCUAUUAUAUGAGAUUCAUAUUAAAUUUUAAUAUGUUAAUGAUAUGUUUGAAAUAUUUUUUAUAUUGAUACUGUAUUCAUAUUAAUAAUUAAAUAACUUUAAAUGUAAUUUAAUUUUAAUAACAUCAACCAUUUUUUCAUUAAACUUUGAAUCCCUUUGAAAAAAUAGUGAUUUGUGUAUUAAGCAUAAAUUUUUUGUUGGAAAAAAAGGGAAUAAAUUUUUUGUUGGAAAAAAAGGAAAAAAACUUUGCAUUUGAGAUGCUGAAAGGCUAAGGUAUUAAAGCAAUGAGACUUUUAGUAUGGAAAUGAAUUUUGUUAUAUUAUAAAAUAUGCUUGAAUGGAAAGUUUUGUUUUUAUUUUCAUUAUAACAAACUAAAAUGAAUUAAUAUAUUAACUAAUAAACAUGGCUAUCAAAUUGUUAAUUGAUUGGACCACUAGAGGUUCUUCUGCAUUCUUAUGAUGUGAUUCUGGUGUUUAGCUUUGUCUGAUGUUACUCCUUUGUUAUGUUGGAUCCUUGGAAUUUGCCUCAUGAUUUUUCUCAAACGCAUAAUAAAUUUUACUUAAUUUUUCGUCAAUUUAUAUUAAAAUAGAUAAAUAAAAGUUAAUAUCUGUUAACUUUGCUGAUAUCACACAUACGUGAAUGACGCAUUAACAAUAAAUUAAUAUUUUAAAAUUUCAAAAUUUAAAAUUAUUAAAAAAGUAUAUAAUAUAUUUUUAAUCUUUUAAAAAUUAAUCAAUUGCUAACGUAGUAUACAUGUGGCAGUCCAUGUAGACUGACGUUAACAAAUAAUAUAAGUUCAAAAAAUAAAAUAGACAAAAAUUUAAGUAGAAAUUUAAAAUAAUUUUUUUAUAAAAUUAAAAAGUCAAAUAAAUAAUUAAAAAAAACACGUAGAAACAUACAAGUAACAAUUUCAACAUUGAAGUUAUCUCUACAGAAAAUACGGAUCUGUAUAUUCUUAUUCAACCAUGAAUUCAAUAUAUAAUUUUUAACUUUAAAUAUGAGAUAAUAUUUGAUGCAUUGUUAGUUUUUAAGUUUUAUGUACCAUCAAUUAAUAAUAUGAAACAUCAUUACUGGUAUAAAAUAAAAAGUAUUGAAAGACUUGAAAAUAAAUACAUUUAAUUUUAUUUUUUUAUUUAAACAUAAUUAAAUAUUAGCUAUAAUUUUUAUUGAUCUUUCGGAUUUUAGAUUCCAAUUUCUUUUGGGUUUUUAUUGGAAAAUAUGGACAUCACAUACAUAAUAAGGAUAAUUGAUAGGUUAGCCUAAAUUAAAACUGAUCUAAUUUGGUUAGAAUUUUAUUGGGUUUUAAUUAUUAAAUAAAGUAUGGGUUAAAUAUGUGUAGAUACUCUAGUAAUUGAGUUCUAAUCAACUUCUAAUUAGAAUUUGAUUAGAAUUAAUAUGCCAAGGUCAUAAAUAUUAGGGUUAUGGUUCCCAAAUUAUACACAAUAUAUCUUUUCUAAUAUCUCAUCAUUAGGAAAGAGAGAGUAGAUAUUUUCUGAAUUUCUUGUGGAUCAAAUCCUCAAGAUAUGGUAAAAAUUUAAGGAAUUCAUGGAUUCAAGUAUGCUUCCGCAUGUAGUUUUGUUCUUGAUUUAUUCUUGAUGAUUUGACAUGAUAGAUCCUGGUUUAUUCAGUUUUAUUUUAGAUUUAUUUUAUAAAUCUAAUAAGUGGCAUCCGAGCCUCGUCAUGUUGACUCAUUAAGAACGAAUUAAUUCUCUAUUUUUUUUGAUUCAUUUAUUUUUUAGAUUUUAUGAAUUUAUUAUCUCAAUUAUAAACAUUAAAUCUUUUAAAUUUAUAUUAAAUAUUUUAGGGUUUGAAAUAGAAAUUGGGCAAGUGAUAAUGCUUAUGAGGAUUUAUGUUGAAAUUUUAGGGUUUUAAAUUUUUUUUAUGAAUUUGGUUUUUGAGGAAAUUGUUGUGUGAAUCAAAUUAUAGUUUAUUUAUAUUUUUAGAUUAAAGUUUUGUUAAAAGUUGAUAUUGAUGCUUGCGUUUCAUUACGAAAUCAGACACAUUGAUUUUUCUUUAAUAAUUAUGCAUCUAUUUAAAAUAUAUAUAUAGAAAUUGAUAUAUGUUUCGUUUAUAUAUAUAUAUAUAAUAUGCAUGCUUUAAUUGGUUUAAUGCAUGUUGUUUUGGAAAAUUAUAUAAAUAUAUAUGAUUAUCUUUUAAUUUGAUUGAAAGAUGAAAUUAAGGUAAAUACUUUGAAACAAAUAAAUUCAGAUUUUAGCUUUUAAUUAAGGAUGUCUACUAUUUUAAAUAAAUUAGUUGAAAUAAAAUGCCACCAAAAUGACAUCUUUUGUGUAGAUUAGUUUAUUUGAAAUAUUAAGAUGAUUAUAUGUUUUUAUGAUUCAUGCGUUUAUUGAUUGACCCAAAGUUAAAUUAAUAUUUGACAGAAUUUCAACGACAUAUGUGGUGAUAAAUGUGUGACAAUUUUAAGGUAUUUUAUGUGAGCAAUAAGUUAGUCCAAAGAUUAAUUCACGGUUUGACAUAAUUUAUUGUCAAUGUUUGAUUGCUACAACAAGAGUACCGCUUACUGUUAAUAUUACUGUCCAAAGCUUUGAUAUUAAUGUUGUGUUUGGUAUCUUGUGAUGGGAUUAGUCAUUAUCUUGAAUUUAUUAUUUACUUAUGAAUAUUGAUUUAAGCUUGUUUUUGUUCUAUAUUUAGCUAAUUCAUCUUCUACUGCCACAAUAUCUGCUAAUAUAAAUUCUAUACCUAUGCUUAAUAGGACUAAUUUUAAGGAAUGAAAAAGGAACUUACUUAAAGUGCUUGGUUGUAUAGACAUAGACCUUACACUAAGGGAAGAACAAUCUGCACCUCUCACUGUGGAAAGCACCCCUGGUGUUAAGAGGGAUUUUGAGAGGUGGGAUCGUUCAAAUCGCAAGAGUCUAAUGAUCAUGAAACACAGCAUUUUAGAAGCUUUUAAGGGCACAUAAUCUGAAAGAUUACUCAGGCCAAGGGUUUCAUUGAUGAAAUUGAAAAAUCUUUUGCUAAAAAUGAUAAGAUUUAGAUGACAUCACUUCUGACUUCUUUGAUGUUUAUGAAGUAUAAAGGUCAAGGAAACGUAAGGGAGUACAUUAUGAAGAUGUUCCAUACUGCUUCAAGACUUAAGACACUUAAGAUCAAACUUUCUGAGGAAUUGUUUUUUCUUAUGGUUUUGGUAUCGCUUCCUGCCCAGUUUAAUCAAUUUAAAAUUAGUUAUAACUGUCAAAAGGAGAAAUGGAUCCUAAAUGAGUUCAUUUCUCAUUGUGUGCAAGAGGAAGAAAGGUUGAAGGAUGAUAAGUCUAAAAGUGUUCAUUUGGCCAAUGCCCCUAAAGAUAAGGGCAAUAAAAGAAAAUAUCAGAAUAAAGCUGCUAAAGGUCUAGCUCAAAAGAAACAACAAGAAGCUAUAGAGAGUUGUUUCUUUUGUAACAAGUCUGGACACGUAAAGAAAGAUUGUACCAAAUAUCAUGCUUGGCAUGCAAAAAAAGGUAUAAUUCUUAAUUUGGUCUAUACUGAGAUUAAUUUAGCUUUAAUACCUAGAAACACUUGGUGGAUAGAUUCUAGUGCUACUACUCACAUAAGUUUUUCUAUGUAGGGUUGCCUAAGUUACUGAAAGCCAAGUGAUGGUGAAAGACACAUCUUUGUGGGCGAUGGAAAAUCAGUAGAAGUGGAAGUGAUUGGGAAUUUUAGGUUGUUACUAGGAACUGGUUUUUAUUUGGAUUUAAAAGACACUUUUAUUGUACCGUCAUUUAGACAGAAUUUAGUUUCUAUUUCUUCGUUGGACAAAUUUGGAUAUUAUUGUUCAUUCAAAAACAAUCAAUUAAUUUGUCUUUAAAUUCAAAUGUUAUUGGAACUAGUUAUUUAAAUACUUAUGACAACCUUUAUUUUCUAGAAACAGUUGCAUCCUAGAAUGAAACCUUGCAUGUGGAAUCACAUGGUAUUAAACACAAAUUAAAUAAGGAAAACUCAUCAUCAUUAUGGCAUAGGUGCUUAGGUCAUAUCUCAAAAGUUAGAUUUGGAUACCUUGUGUUUGAUGGAAUUUUAGAGUCCCUUGACUUCACAGACUUUGAUGUAUGUGUUGAUUGCAUUAAGGGAAAAUAGACCAAAACCAAGAGAUUAGGUGCCAACAGAUCUUCAGACGUCUUAGAAUUAAUUUAUACAGAUAUUUGUGGGUCAUUCCCUAUGGCAUCCUAGAAUGGUCAAUAAUAUUUCAUAACAUUGAUAGACGAUUAACCACGUUAUGGGUACCUAUAUCUCAUUCAUGAGAAAUCUUAGUCUUUGGACAUGUUCAAAGCUUAUAAAGCUAAAAUUGAGAAUCAACUCAAAAAAAGGACUAAAAAUGUCAGAUUAAAUCGUGGUGGUGAGUACUACGGUAGAUAUGAUGGCUUAGGAGAACAAUGUCUAGGACCAUUUGCGAAAUUCCUAGAGAAAUGCAGUAUUGUCCCACAGUACACCAUGCUAGGAUCAUCUAGUAUGCCUGGUGUAGCUGAAAGAUGAAACAUGACUCUUAAGGAUAUGGUAAAGAGCAUGAUUGCUCAUUCUACCUUACCUGAGUCCCUCUGGGGAGAAGCAUUAAAGAUAGCAGCUUACAUUCUAAAUAGAGUACCGAAUAAAGCAGUUGCAAAAACACCUUAUGAGCUUUGGACAGGUCAAAAACCUAGCCUAAAGCACUUUCACACUUUGGGAUGUCUAUCUGAGGCAAGGCCUUAUAGGCUACAUGAAAAGAAAUUGGACUCCAAAACAGUAAGCAACUACUUUAUUGGUUAUUCUGAGCGAUCUAGGGGCUAUAAAUUUUAUGAUCCCAUAAUAAGGAAUAUUUUUGAGAUUGGAACUACAACAUUUUUUGAGGAUGUUGAGUUCGGGGAGAAAUAAGGUUAGAGACAUUGCUUUUGAGGAAGAAUUGGGUUCUAACUCAAUUCCUACUAUCUUUUUUUAUGAUUUUUAGGUUCUUAUACCUAUCAUUGAUCAAGAAGUGAAUCUAGAACCUCUAUAAGACAAUGUUGAACAACUCCUCAUUCAAAAUGAGGUGAUUGUUCCAGAAGAACAAACUCAACAACCUCAAGAACAAGUGUCAUUAAGUAGGUCUACAAGAGAAAGGAGAAAUGUUAUUCCAGAUGAUUAUAUUGUAUUUCUCUAAGAACAUGAGGAUGAUAAUGGAAUGAUGGAAGAUGAUACAAUCAACUUUCAUCAAGCCAUGAAAAGUUCUAAUUCUCAAAAGUGGAUUGAUGCCAUGAAAGAUGAGUAUAAAUCUAUGCAAGACAAUAAAGUUAGGGAACUUGUCCCAUUACUUGAAGGUGCAAAACCAAUUGGUUGUAAAUGGAUAUUUAAAACCAAGAGGGAUACAAACGGUAAUGUGGAGAGGUAUAAGGUGCGUCUUGUAGCUAAACGAUAUACUCAGAAACAAGUUAUUGAUUUUACAGAGACUUUUUCUCUAGUUUCAUCAAAACACUCCUUCAGGAUAAUCAUGGCGCUUGUUGCUCAUUUUGAUCUUUAGUUAUAUCAGAUGGAUGUUAAGACUACGUUUCUUAAUGGCAACAUUGAAAAAAUAAUUUAUAUGGUGCAACCAGAAAAUUUUGAGUCGGAAGAUUCAAAGAAUAUGGUUUACAAAUUGACAAAAUCCAUUUAUGGACUCAAACAAGCUUCCUUUUUAUGGUACCACAAGUUUCAUCAAAUAAUUAUUUCGUUCGAUUUUGAGAUGAAUAUUGCUAAUAAUUGUGUGUAUCACAAAUUCAAUGGGAGUAAGUACAUCUUUCUGGUUCUUUAUGUUGAUGACAUUUUGCUUGCCGCUAAUGAUAUAGGCUUAUUGCACAAAACCAAGAGGUUUUUAUCUAAGCAUUUUGAGAUGAAAGAUCUUAGGGACGCCACUUUUGUUUUAGGAAUUCAAAUACAUCGAGAUCGAUCUUGAGGUAUUCUUGGAUUAUCACAAAAGAUUUAUAUCAAUAAAGUACUCAAAAGGUUUGGCAUGCGGAGUUUUAGACCAAGUGACACCCCUGUUGCUAAAGGAGACAAAUUUAGUCUUACUCAAUGCCCUAAAAGUAACCUUGAAAUUCGGGAAAUGAAAAAGAUUCCCUAUGCAUCAACUAUUAGGAGUUUAAUGUAUGCUCAAGUAUGUACGCGUCCGGACAUUGCAUACAUUUUUGGGAUGUUAGGCAGAUAUUUAAGCAACCCUGGUAUAGACCAUUGGAUAGUAUCCAAAAGGGUUAUGAGAUAUCUUCAGAGAACAAAAUAUUACAUGCUUACUUAUAAGAGAUCAGAUUUUUUGGAGGUUGUAGGGUAUUCUGAUUCUGAUUUUGUCGGGUGCCAAGAUAGUAGGAAAUCUACAUCAGGCUAUAUUUACCUAUUAGCUGAAGGAGCUAUAUCUUGGAAAAGUGUCAAACAGACACUUGUAGCUUCGUCCACUAUGCAGUAGAGUUUGUAGCAUGCUAUGAGGCAUCAAACCAUGGAAUAUGGUUGCGAAACUUUGUCACAGGGAUGCACAUUUUGGAGAAUGUAGAAACAACACUCAAAUUAUUUUAUGACAAUAAGUCAGCAGGGCUGUACAUGAGUUCAUCUAAGUCAAAGCAUAUUAACAAAAGUUUCCAUCUCUUUAUUCAUUUUUAUAGGCUUUACUUUUGUUAGGAUUUGUCUUUCAACAAAAUCAAUUUCAUAUGGUAAUGUUACUUCAUGCUUUUUCCUAUUCCAAAAGGCAUUAGAGAUGUUAGAAUAUAUUGUUGACUCGAUUUCUGUUUUGAUUUGAUUUAUUCUUUUUUGAUCUUUUGUUUUUUCUAAUUGUUCAUUUAAUUUUUUUAAAACAUAUUUCUUCUUUAAGAAUAAAAAAUUAUUCUAUUUAUGAUUAAUUAAAUUAUUGAUUCGUAAUGAAUAAAAAUGUUAAUAAGUUAAGAUUUUUAAUAUUGUGAUUUGUUACUUUGUAAGGUUUGAGUAAAGAUAUAAAGGGGUUCCUAAUAUAAUGUCUUAGGUAAUAUCUUUUAUCAUUAAAAAACAUGUUUGAUGUUUGAUAUCUUUAUUACAAAUUUCUACAUUAGGGAUUUUGAUAUGUGUCUUGAUUUUCCACAUCUAUAACAUUUUAUCGUUUUAUCUUUUUUUUUCGAUUUUUGUUGUUUCUGUUAUUUACUAUAUUUCCUAUACUUUGAUUUUUUUUAUAAUAUUCUGAAAUAUUCUUUCAUAUAUUUUUUCAUUUUAUAGGGAAACAUGUUUUUGAAGAAGAAGGUUCAUUUCUAAUGUCAAAUUGGUGGCAGAAUGAUAGGCAAUGGUAGCAAUUUAAAAAUUCUCAUAGUAGAAACCCCUUGUAGGAAAUAAGAAAAUAAAAUGAUGUUUCCUUAGAGAACCAAUUCUUCUACAAGCUUUACCUCUAACCAAUACCAAGAGUUUGAUCAAACCUCAAACAACAAUGUUAAUGAAUAAGAACAUUAUGAAAAUGUUCACCGAUGUAUACUAUUUUUAAACCCUUCAAAUUUUUAUUUUACACUAGUAAUAAUGUGUCAUUUUAUUAUCACUUGAUGGUACAUAAAAUCUAUGCACCUAUGGUUAGGGGUGAACAAAGCUCGAUUCGAUUUGAAAAAAUUGAAAAAAAAAUCAAAUUUUGAGUAAUUCGAGUUUCGAGUUCGAGUCGAGUUGAAUUUUACAAUUCGAAUAAUAGAUUGGUGUAAAUACCCCUUUAAUCCAUGUCAAUUUUGAAAAUGAGCAAAUUGAUCUCUCUCAACGAAAAAUACAAAAUAACUCAAAAUAAUUUUUAAAAUUCAAAAUAUUUAUAAAAAUUCCAAAAUUUAUAUUUUUAAAAAAUAAAAAUAUUUCUAAAAAAUAUAUAAAGAAAUUUAAAAUUUUAUUUUUUUCUAAAAUAAUAAAUUUAGAGACCUAAAUAAGUUAAUUAAUGAUUCAAGUUUAUAAUUCUAAAGUAUCUUAUUAUUAUUAUUAUUAUUAUUAUUAUUAUUAUUAUUAUUAUUAUUAUUAUGCUUUGAAAAAGUUUUCAAAUAUAUAUAGUUUCAAUUGUAGGUGUUCUAGCAUUAAAUUAAUUAUACUAUAGCAAAAUUUUAAUUUGAUAUAUUUAAUUUUUUAAUUAACUGAACAAUUUCACUUGAUUCGAUUCGACUUGAAUUUCAUUUCACUCAAUUCAAUUUGAAAAAAAUUAAUCAAAUUAGAAUGAUAAAAUAGGAUUUAUCAACUUGAUUAACUUGAAUUUUUUUUACUAGAUUCAAUCGAACGCUAACCCCUACCUACGGUACAUUAAAUAUUCUCCCUAUAUUAUUAUUAUUAUUAUUAUUAUUAUUAUUAUUAUAGUUUUGGCUUUAUUUUAUUUGCACUUUGUAAUGACGUGAGAUAUUUCUAAGAUUACAAAUUAUUAUUAUUAUUAUUAUUAUUAUUAGCCAUAAAAACAUAAAAACUUUAAUUAUAUCAGAAAAUACAAAAAGUUAUGGUAAAAAACUUGACUCAGAAGUACAAGAGAGCCACAACUACCUCACUGUAAAACUAACUUCAAUAUCAGUUCGAAGGGGGAGUAGGAAAUUCAUCCUUGUCAAGAAUGAACACCAAAGAAGUUGGUGGUUGUCAAGUCCAACCUGUAACGCCUUGAAUAGUUUAAAUAUAUUUUUGUGAAAUUUGACAUAAAGGUGUAUUUGCUCAGUAGUUAAGUGUUUUAGGUGUGUGUAUCAGGUCUUGGGUUCAAGUCUCAUAUUUGGGGAAAAAAUUUAUUAUUAUUUAUUCAAGCAUUAUCCCUGUUAGGCAGGCUUAUAAAAUAUUGUUUGUUAAUCUAUAUCAAAAUGAGCCUGCUUGUUUGAGUGGUAAGGACUUAGUGUAUUGGAGGUCUUGUGUUUGAAUCUGUGCGUGAGUGUGAGUGUUAAUUUUUAUUUCUGUUGCCUGAUAGAGGUUCGGUGGAACUGGAACUCUGAGGUUGUUGGAUGAGAAUCUGAUGUCAGUUUUGGUGGGAUUUGUUGUUAGUGGGUUAGUCGGGGGAGUUAGGAUUUUCGUUAAUUUUGAUUUAUUUUACUUUUUUUUUAAAAUUUUUAUCUUUUCCCAAAAACCUCUCCCCUUUUUAAUUUUUUUUGUUUCCCACUAUCAAUUUUCUUUCUUUUUCAUCUUAUCGAUUUCUAUCUUCAUCUCCCUGUUAAAUUACAGUGCUUCGAUUCCCUUUUUUUGUACGUUUGGUAAGUGGUGGUAGUAAGGUUUUUGCUUGAGUUAAGGAGAAUUCUUUUAAAUCCGUUUAAAAAUGAUGUUGUCUUUUUCAUUAGUUCUAAUUUUUGGGUUGUUGGCAGCAGCGAAUCGGCAGGAUCGGAGCUCUCUUCUUGUGGAAUCGUAAUAUCGAGGAUCAUUCGGGAAGUUGGGUAAGUAAUGAACGCUUGGGUCUCGCUGUGAUCAAUUUAUUAUUUUGAUUUAAUUGAGGAUGCAAGACUAAUUUUGGGACGUGCUUUGUCGAUUUUUAGGUUCUUGUGGUCUCAGGAUUGUUUUCACAGCAAAAACAAACCAGGUGUGCACCUUAAACACGAAAAUUGAGGUUCGAAAAAAGCCGAAAAAUUGCACUGUUGACGCCACACGGGUGUGCACCCAGCUGUAUGGUUGGCCAUGUAUAAGACACAGUCGUGUGACUGACGAAGAUGUGGCCGUGCACAUGACACGACCUUGUGUCAGUGUGAGUGUAGUCGUGUGGGCCACACUAGCUAAGUCAGAUUGGGCGUGUGGGUUUAGGGUCAGGCCAUGUAGGCCACAUGAGCAAGGCCAAUCUAGGAGUGUGGGCCUACGUGGGCAGGCCACAUAGGCAUGUAGGCCCAGAAUUUUGAAAUUUUCCCUAGGGUCGCACGGGUCGUUUCGAUUGACUGUGGACCUACUGUAAGGUCGGUAAAGGCUAACCAAACCCUAAUUCAUGUGAUCUGAUAUUUUGAUAAUCUGAUUUGAGUAGGACAUUGAUAUGUAUGUAUGACUGUUCUGUUUGAGUAUAUAUAUAUGUUAUCUGUAUACAAGCAUGUUAGGCAUGUUAAUUCUGCUAAUUUUGAAUUUUGUAUCUGUGUUUGGGGAGAGAUUUGUAUAUGUAGAGGAAGUGAUCUAUAUGGCGACAUUUCGCCUAUAUUCUGGUAGAUCGACUACAUAUUAUCUAUGAUAUGUCGCAUCGACACUAUAUGGUAUGUAGGGAUGGUUGGGUAUUUUUAACCCCAUAUGAUGUGAUGGGAUGGAUGGAGAUGGUGUGUAGAGGAUGGGUGUAACGCCUUGAAUUUUACACCCAAAAGUUUAGAGAUUUGAGCAUAGGGGCAGUGGGGAGACUGCACAUAAAUGAUUAGUUGUGCACUCAAGUGACAAGAAUGGGCCUGUUGGUCUGGUGGUUAAGUGAGUCUUAGCAUACCUUGAAGAUCCGGGUUCGAGUUACGGGAGGCAUUUUUUUUUAGAGUCAUUGUUUUAUUUUUGUUUGUUUUAGUUAAUAAAUAUUUAGCUAUUAUAUUUUGUAAUUGUAUAUUGCUAUUUUUAUUUUUGUUUUGGACGUUCUUCUGUUUCUCUUUUUGGUUUUUGUUUCCCUUGCUUUUCUUUUUGAGGAUUAUUCGGAUUGCUUUUGAAAGUGAAUUGUCUAUGGAUUUUGGGAUUUGCACUCCUCCUUCGACUUCUUCGUCGUUGGGUCCAAUCACAACACAGGUGUGGGAUUCAAAUCUGGUUUACCUUUUCUUAUUAAUUGAUAUUUCAUUUUUUUGAAUUCCUUUCUUUCAGCUUUUCGUAACUAUACAUUAACCCCAUUCAUUUUUGGGUAUUGAGACAUUGUAAGAGAGGGGAAAGCACUAGUAUCUGAUGUACUCUUGGUGUGGUUAAGGUUAGGGACUAUUAUGGUGGCUUAAACGACGGUUUUGGACUAAUUUUGAGUGGUUUCGUGACCUCCCCGAUGACCACAUGGCUGUAUAACUCGGCACACGGCCGUGUGGAUUUAGGAACUAGGGUUUCGGGAUAAAUUGGGUACCAUACGGCCGUGUGGCUGAUUUGGGGAUUUUAUCAGAAUUCACACGAUCGUGUCCCUUCGGCACACGGGCGUGUGAGUUAGAGAAUUAGGGAUUUUGGAUUCGGAGUCAUAUGGAUGUGUGGUUGAUUUGAGGAUUUAAAGAUCCCACACGGGCAUGUGUUUCAGAACACAUGGCUGUGUCUGGUGGGCAUAUGGGCGUGUGAGACCCUCACACAGUAAUGUCUCCCCUGCACUUUAUUUUAGCGAUUUUUGACAAUGUUACAUGACCUGUUCACACGGCCGUGUCUGUAAUAUCCCGAAUUAGGGCCUAAUCGGAAUAGUGGUUUUGUGACCACAAAUCCGAGAUAGAAAUAAUUAUUUUAUAAUUAUUUUGAUGAUUAUGAUAUGAUUGCAUGAUUGUGUGAAAAUUUCGUGAUGAAAUUCUAUGCCUAAAGUGCUUAAAUUGAAAGUAAGGACUAAAUCGAAUAAGUUGCAAAACUUGCAUUCUAGAAGUUUUUUGUAUGAAAUUGUUUUGGAAUAUUAAUGAGGAGGUCUUAAAUAGCAAUUUGACCAAUUUUAAGUUCAUGGAAAAAAUUAGGACAUGGAAGGAAUUUUUGGAAAGUUUAGUAGUAAGGGUAUUUUGGUCAUUUAGUUAUUAAAAUGAAUUAAAAACAAAAUUAAAAGCCAAUUUUUGUCCAUCUUCUUCAUUAGGCCGAAAUUUCAAGGGUUCUCCAUAGCUAGGGUUUGUUUCAAGCUUCCAAGCUCCAUAGUAAGUGAUUCCAAGCCCCGUUUUUAAUGUUCUUUACGUUUUUGGAAUCCCGGUAGCUCGAUUAAGCUUAUGUUAGCAAUAAUUCAACCUAGGGUUUAUAUUUGGAAAAAUACCCAUAGGUGAAAUUUGUGUAUUUUGAUGUUUUAUGAUAGAAUAUGGGGUUUUAAAUUAUGUUAGACAACUUGUACUACUCGAUUUUAAGCAAAAACGAGUAAAAGGGCUUAAUCGGUAAAAAUACCUAAUAGUCACAAGUACAUGUUAGAGUGAGAAUUUGAUGUUGCCAUAGAAGAGAAAAGUGAUCAGCAUGUUGUAAAACAUAAGAAUAAGGAAUAAAGUUUAAUCCCGAGCCUAGGGGCAAAAAUGUAAAUAUGCAAAAGUUUAGGGGAAAAAUUGUAAUUUUGCCAAAAUUUGAGUUAAGGAUUAAUUUGAUAAUGUGGGUAUUAAAUGAGCUAAAUGUGUUAUUUUAGAUCAAGAAAGACGUGGAAUCGACCUCAAUCAAGGAAAAGAAAAGAUUGUGGACUAAAUUGCAAAAUCUUUAUAUUUUGGUACCAAGGUAAGUUCAUGUGUAAAUGUAGUAACAUAAUUGUCAUUUUAACCAAUUUAAUGUUGUUUAUAUGAUAUGAUGCUGAUUAUUAUCAUGAAAUAUUAUGCUUUGUGGUUAUUGUUGAAUAAUAUGUAAUUAUGUGAAUUACUUGAUGAGUAUGAACUAUCACCGAAGUACCGAUUUCGAUAUUCCGUGGAAGACGGCAAAGAUGUGUGAUCGAGGAAAACGCCCGUUUGAACCUUAGGAAUAGAUUAGGAUACAAGUGACAUGUCACUAGGAUGGUUGAGCAUCCAAACUCGUUGAGUUGAGUCCGAGUUCACUUAUGGAUGCGAAUGUCCGAACUCGUUGAGUUGAGUCUGAGUUCGUGAAAUGUAACUAGGCAUCCGAACUCGUUGAGUUGAGUCCGAGUUCACUUAUGGAUGCGAACGCCCGAGCUCGUUGAGUUGAGUCCGAGUUCACUUAUGGGCGGGUUACAUGGUAGCUUGAUUACAUAUGAGGCUCUUAUAUGCAAAUUAUCCAUGUAUCCGAAUUAUAUUCCGAUGUGUUCAACGGGUAAAGUUUUACUCAAAUAGAGGAAUACUCGAGAUGAAAAGAGACGUAUUGGUAAGUGAUGAGAAAUGGAUAUUUUGUACAGGUAUGUAUUUAACCCUCGGGUUGAGUGUUGAUUACAACCACGAUAAGGUAAUAAGAUGAUGGAAAAUGAUUAAAAAAUGUGAUAAGUGUGUUGAUGAUAUAUGCUAAUGUUGAUUAGUUUGAUUGUUUGUUAUGUUAUUUAUUAUUUACAUAUGAACUUACUAAGCAUUUAUGCUUACUCCCUCCUUCUUACUCAUUGUAGUUUUGGACAAGCCAGUUCAGGAGUCGGGAUAGGUUGAAGGCUCAGUCACACUAUCAGGAAGAUUUUUGGUAAAUGGCUUGUAAAUUUAAGUAUGGCAUGUAUAGCAAUAUACUUAUUUUGUGUAAAUGAUCUUAUGAUAUGGUGACAGAAUGGUUGAGAAAAUAUUUGAUAAUGAUAAAUUAUGAAAAUGGUAAGUUUAGAUUAUGUUUGAUGUUAAGGAAAACUAUUAUGAUACUUAGUGCAUAAAAACUCAUAAGAGGGAUGAAAUUUGCCAUAAACAGAAUACUGCAGCAACACUGACCCGAGUUUGAAAAUUUACUAAAAAUCAUAGCAAUUAAAUUUGGUGAUGGACUACAUAUCAAAUUUAAGCUUAUUAUGUCUAGUGUCACAUGAAACAAAUGAAACAGGUAAAGGAAUUAUAUGUUAGAAGAUAUUUGAAUUUUAGUGAAACAGGUUCAUAGCAGUUUCUGAAUCCCCUGCUCCUACUUUAGAAAUUCACCAUAAAUUUUAAAGAUAUAAUUAGGUGGUGUAUUUUAUAUCCUAAGAAUACUUAUUGAGUCUAGUUUUAGGAGAAACAAACCUCAUAGUCAUAUGAAUUUUUUACAUAGAGAAAUGUGGUUCAUAGUAAAUAGAGGUCAGACCAGUCAAGUCCUGAAAUAGGGGUAACUUUAACUAAUAAACUGUACUAAUUGGCCCAUUCAAAAAUUUUAUAAAAAAUUAGUAGAUAGGUAUAUGAGUCUAGAUUUAGGGAAAAUUUACGGAUCUUGAUUUCGAGUUUCGUAACUCGAGAUAUGAUUUUUCUUGUGACUGUGACGCAAGUAGCUUAAAAGCUGUGAAUAUAGAAACAAAUAAUCCAAAGUUCUAAAAAUGUUAAAUUAAGCUUAGUAACACCUCAUACUCGACUCCGGCGACGGUCUCGGGCGUGGGGGCGUUACAGUGUCCCCGCUUCACACAAGCGUGUGCCUCUAUCACACGGGCAUUUGGAUCACCACACGGCCUAGUUUGUCCCACACGACCGGGGCACACUGGCAUGUGGCCCUAUUUUGCUAGAUUUUGGUUUUAGGGCAAAUGUAAGUGCAAUUGGGACCUUGUAUGUUUCAACCCUUAGCUAAGCUUUAGUGAGGGUGUUUAGACUCUAAUCUGAGUUUGGAUAAUGUGUUAUUUGUGAUUGGUUGUGUGACAUGUUUGAUUCUGAACUUGGUUAGCUGGGUGAGUGUGUGAGCAACUAGUUCUAUCUGACUGUCUGACUACGUGUUAUCAAUAUGCGAGGUUAUUUUGUAAUUGAUACUGAACUCAAGUAAUGAGUGUGCACAUUUCUGAUUCUGAUUGACCAUAUAUGAGUGACUGUCUCUGGUUAACUAUCUGGAAAUUGAUAUUUUGAGUUUUGUGCAUCUGUCUGUAUACAUACAUUUGCAUGAAAUUGUUUUGGGUGGGACUUUGAAGAGAAGGAAGAUUGACUAAACUAAACUGUUAGCUAAUCUUUUGGUUAUUAGCCUUAAUACCCAGAGGGUUAUGGGCGGUCCCAAUACCCUGAGGGUCGUGGACAAUUUGACUGUACUGCGGACUACUACAUUAUACAGAACAUGCAUCAGUAUCGCUGCGUAUCAUUGACUGAACUAGAAGUUUUAUUACAACCUAAUAGUAUAGCGGUUUACCGUAUUGCGCUGUACCGCAUGUACGUUAGCUACGCUACGUACAACUAUUUGAUCUGGCAGUUUAUACUGCAUGUCUGUACCGCGGUUUAUCGCAUUGCAUGAUACAGCUUAUACUCUAGCUUUGCUGCAUAAUAUACGUGACUGGCAGUUUAUCUACAUACUGUUAGCCUCAAUACCCAGAGGGUCAUGGGUAGUCACAAUUCCUUGAGGGUCAAGGACAAUCCUGAUGGCCAAUGUUGCCGGAUAACCCGGGAUGACAUCAAUUGGAGUGCAGGGUUGGAUGGUCCUUACGAGGUCCAGAGUUGAGUGAUUGGUGGGAUGAGUUUAAAGCUCUUAUGAGGAGUAAUGAGGGACGAAGAGGUGUGUUGGCUAGAUAGGUGGGUUUCUCAUAACUCAAUUACAUUCAUAUGCAUCAUAUUGACUGCUCGACUGAAAUGUCUGAUUGACGGUUCGAUUGAAAGGCACUUGUGCCUAUGAGAAUUGUGUAGACUUUGACUGUAACUGUCUGACUAGAUAGUUCUUAUCACUGUUGAGAAUUACUGCUACUGUGCCUGAAUGGUACGUGAAACUGUGUGCGUCUGAUUGACUCAUAUGACUGUAAAGUAAUAUGGUGUAUGAUUGAUUUUGGGCGAAUUCGCUCAACUGUCAUCUGUCUGUCUGUAUGUUUUGCUUUUGAACUACUUCUAGUUCCCUAUUUUCGUUUUUGUAGUUUAAUUGGUUUGUUCUCACACUAAGCUUGAGUAGCUCACCCCCUCUUUUUUUUCCCCUUUUAGGUACAGUUUUGGAUUCUGUUGAUGGGAUCAGUACGCGAAGGUCUCAGACAGUCUCAGUGAAAGUGGAAUAUUAGUUUGUGAUUUUCAGUUUUUUUUUAUUCGUACUGUAAGAUUUUAUAAUAUUAUGGUACAAUUACUAUUUUAAACUUUUAUUCGUACAUGUUAUUCUCUUGUGGAUGGAAUUUUAAACAAUUAAACGUUUUGAUUUGUUUUAAGAUAAAAAUUGUCAGAAAUGGAAUUUUGAACGACUUGUUUUUGUAGAAAUCUUCUCAGGAUUGCUUUGGUGAUCAAUGUAGUAUUUCGAAUUCAGUCUUUACUUCUAGGCCGGGUUUGGGGUGUUACAAGGGGGGUAGGAUUCUGAAUAUCCAUUCUGUUUAUCUGAUUCUGAUAUCUGUAUCUAUUAUGGACUUAGGUCCGAAUCUGUAUCUGACUGUAUAUGAAAUAUGGUGUAUGUUACUUGGCUAUUUCUGUUGGGUUACACAGUGAGUUUACGAAAACUCACAUUUUUUUGUCUAUUCUGUUCAGAGGUAAUCUAUAGACUUAAGCGGGUUAGUGCGACAGAGGCUCAACAGUGACCACUUGACUGAGAUUUGUUUUUAUUUAGUAAUAAUGGUUUAUUUUAAAAUCUGGUUUUCUUAAGAGUUUGUAAUUUUUUGGGACUCUCUGGACUGUAUGAUUUUAACUUUUGGAUUUGGAUUUUGUUUUGUAUUUUUUUCCGCAAUGUUGACAAAAACACUAUGCAAACAAAUGGUUUUAACAAAUAGUUUUUAGAAAAACGAGCUUGGUUUUGUUUAAAAUGAUUUUGAAACUUCUACUUUGAAAUAAACAGUUAAUUUUAAAGAACAACUCAAAAUAGUUUUAGUAAUGUAUAUGUAUAAAUGAAUAUGUUAUAAUACCUAGAUGAUUUAACUAAUAACUAAACAUGAUUUUAUCGAAGUAUUUUCAGUUUCAAAACCCUUCAUCGUAACAUUCCUAGAUUCAGCCAUAACGUAUAGGCUGUGUUUGGGGUAUUACAUUUAGUGGUAUCAGAGCUAGGUUACAAAACUCAGGCUGUAAAUUUUGAGUUUCAAAAUUGUAUUUCAAAAAAGAAUUGGUUGAUAAUUUAGAUCAUUUUGAGUAAGUAUAUGGUACACCGAGUCUCCGGCGCCAAUACUCUAAGUAUCUCUAAAUUUAGAAAACACUAAAUUAGUACUUUUUAAAAUUGUACUAAGUUAGUUAGAGACUAAAGCCUCUGAAAUACUUCUGAACUUCUGAUAAAUUAAGUAUAAAAUAUCUGCUAAUAAAUACUGGAACUGAUGCAUAAAAUUCUAUAAUAUAGAUAAAAUUGAAAAUACGAUGAGCGCUCGUGGAACUCACGGUCGUAUUAUUUGUGGUUGUGGUGGGUGUCGUAGGAGGGCUCGAGCUAAGUAUUCUUCUCUGUGUAGUAUGCCAAAUUUAAACACAAGUGAGACACUAGUUUCACUUGCUAUUGAGACUGGGCCUCAAAGCCGCUCGGCGGGGGACGACGCAUUGUCCCAAGCCAUGUUGAGAGUAUUGGAGAGGGUCGUUGGACCCCAUUCUAGAUCUGGGGUUCGUAGGUCGGUAAUUGAAAUACUUCAGUCCAAUGAAGCUAAGUUGUUUAGGGGCGUCACUAGAGUCGCCCCUACUGUGGCUGAGUAUUGGUUAAAGGCCACUGAGAGGAUUAUGAACGACAUUGAAUGCACUCCUAAGAAGAAAUUGAAGGGUGCAAUCUUUUUGCUUCGUGACAAAGCUUAUCAGUGGUAGUUGUCAGUUGAGGAACGUACUCAACCAAAUCAUCUGAACUGGGACUAACUUAAGACUGCUUUCUAAGGAAAAUAUGUGGGUACAAUUUAUGUUGAUGCUCGUAGGCGUGACUUGAGCUUAUGAAUCUCAUGCAAGGUGAUAUGUCUGUGGCCGAGUAUGAGGCCGAGUUUCUAAGAUUGAGCUGCUACGCUCGAGCUAUGAUGGCAUCUGAGUAUGAGAAAUGUGUUUGUUUUAAGGACUGUUUAAGGGAUAGUCUAAGGGUUCUGAUUGCUCCGCUGAGGGAGCGUGAGUUUGUUGUUUUGGUAGAUAAGGCGAAGAUUGCUGAAGAGGUUGAGCACGUGGAGCACCUAAACAGGAAGCGAUAGAGAGGUAAGAACAAGAGGGAUUUGGUGCCCUCUAGUGCUGUUUAGAGGCCUAAAAAGUGGGCUAGACCUGAUUCGCUUGUUAGAUUGAGAGUUCGUGUUGCUCCUACUGGGAUUCAGCCUUGUGGUGAUUGUGAUAGGCCAUCCGAGCACGUGUUGGAAGAGAUUAGGGGCUUGUCUGCGGUGUGGGUCUUUGGAGCAUGGGAUUAGAGAAUGUCCACAUCGUGCUGAUCAGACGCAAGCUUUGGGACUGAGUUUUGAUCAACCUCAGAAGGCAGUACAACAACCACCUAGGGGCCAUAGACCGGCUAGGAGUGGUAAUGGUAUCGGCUGAUGACAGAAAGCACCGGGUAGAGGUGCUAAUCAGAUUGAAAUGAGGCAGCCUGUAUUGGUUUAUGCUGCUUGAUGCCGAGAGGAUAAUGACAUUCCUGAUGUGAUCACGGGUAUGUUUUUAAUUUUUGAUGCUCCAUAUACUGCUUUGAUAAACAUAGGUUCUACGUACUCCAAUGUAGCUAGUACUGUUUCUAGGAACUUGGGGAUUUUUGUUGAGUGCGCUUCUGGUGAUAUUAUUGUACUAAGUCCAUUGGGAUAGUCUAUUCGAGUAAAUAAACUUUAUAGGAAUGUUUCGUUAAAAGUAUAAGAGGCUGCGUUUUCAGAAAAUUUGAUAGAGCUACCAUUUGGGGAGUUCAACUUAAUUCUGGGUAUAGACUAGUUAGUUGAGCACCGAGUUAGGUUCAAUUGUGCGACUAAAAGGGUUGUUCCGAGGACCGGGGAUGAUAAGGAAGUGGUUGUGAUCGAUGAGCAUCGAGAUUACUUGUCUGAUGUGUUCUCCACUUUAGUGGCUGAGAAAUUGGUUUAGAAAGGGUAUGAGGCGUAUUUGGCCUAGUCAGUGUUUCAGUUCUAGGAACUCUUCUGUCAAGGAUAUUAAAACAAUGAAGGAAUUUUUAGAUGUUUUUCCUGAGGCAUUACCAAGUUUACCUCUAAAUUAGGAAGUUGAGUUCGGCAUUGAGCUUCCAUCAGGUACAGCUUCGGUGUCUAUCGCUCCAUACCGUAUGGCACCGAAGGAGCUUACAGAGUUUAAGGCUCAACUUCAAGAGCUUCUAGAUCGUGGUUUCAUCCAUCCUAGUAUGUCUUCGUGGGAGGUAUUGGUUCUGUUUGUAAAGAAAAAUGAUGGUACCAAGAGGAUGUGCAUCGACUACCGGCAGUUGAAUAAACUGGCUGUGAAGAAUAAGUACCCACUUUAGAGGAUUGACAACCUAUUUGAUCAGUUCCGUAAGGCUACGGUAUUCUAAAAAGUAGAGCUUCAUUCUAGGUAUCAUCAGCUUAGGGUUAAGAAAGCUAAUAUUCAUAAGGCAGCUUUUAGGACUCGUUAUGGGCACUACGAGUUUCUAGUUAUGCCCUUCGAUUUGACGAAUGCUCCGGCUACAUUCAUGGAUAUGAUGAACCGAGCUUUUCAGCCGUAUCUGGACCAGUUCUUCGUAAUCUUCAUUGACGAUAUUCUGGUGUACUCUAAGACUAAGGAUGAGCAUGGUGCGCAUCUUAGAGUAGUGCUUCAGAUGCUCCGAGAGAAACAACUCUACGCUAAGUUGAGCAAGUGUGAGUUUUGGUUGCGAGAGGUAACUUUUCUGGGACAUGUGGUUUCUGCUGAGGGGAUUCGAGUUGAUCCUUGAAAGAUUGAGCUUGUGCUUGAUUGGAAGCAGCCUAAGAAUGUUUCUGAUAUCCGUAGUUUUCUGGGUCUUUCGGGUUAUUAUUGGCUGUUUGUUGAAGGGUUUUCACUAAUUACGGCUCCUUUGACUAAGCUUCUGCUCAAGAGUGUUUCUUUCGUUUGAACUGAUAUGCAAAAAUCGAGCUUUGAAAAGCUCAAGUCCGUUUUGACUCAAGAUCCUAUUCUGAUAUAGCCUGAAUUUGGUAGGGAGAUUGUGGUGUACAGUGAUGCGUUGCACAUCGGUUUGGGAUGUGUACUGAUGCAAGAUGGUAAGGUUGUGGCUUAUGCGUCCUGUCAGCUUAAGUCAUAUGAGGGGAAUUAUCUGAUGCAUGAUCUCAAGUUAAUCGCGGUGGUGUUUGUGUUAAAAAUCUAGAGGCACUAUCUGUAUAGUGAGAGGUUUAUUAUCUACACCGAUCACAAGAUCCUCAAGUACCUCCUUACUCAGAAGGAGUUGAAUCUUAGGCAACGUUGAUGGAUUGAGUUGCUCAAAGAUUAUGACUGCACGAUAGAGUAUCAUCCUAGUAAGGCCAAUGUGGUGGUCGAUGCUCUUAGUCAAAGAACGAUGACUGAUUUGAGGGUUAUGUUCGCUCGUCUCAAUUUAUUUGAUGAUAGAGGUCUGUUAGCCGAGUUGCAAGUUAAGCCAACUUGGAUUGAUCAUAUUCGAGUUAAGCAGUUAGGGGAUGAUUCUAUGGUUCUGCGGUUUUGUUAGGUUGAGAGUCAUAGUACUUUUGAUUUUGGACUGAUUAAUGAUAGAGUUUCGUGUUUCUGAAGUCGGGUUUGUGUAUCGAGCAAUUGUGAUUUGAGGCAGUCAAUUUUGAGGGAAGCACAUAGUAGCCCUUAUGAUAUGCAUCCUGGUGGUAAUAAGAUGUAUCGGGAUCUUCGUGAGUUGUACUGGUGGCCGGGAUUGGAACGUGAGGUAACAGAUUUUGUUGGUUGUUGUCUGACAUGCCAGCAAGUUAAGGCUGAACACCAGUUGCCUUCAGGUUUGCUUCAACUUGUUAAGAUUCCCUUGUGGAAAUGAGAAUGAGUGACGAUGGACUUUGUUAGUGGAUUGCCCUUGACAUCCAUUAAGAAUGAUUCUAUUUGGGUCAUCGUGGAUCGAUUAACCAAGUCUGCCCAUUUUAUUCCGAUUUAGACGGACUACUCUCUGCAAAAGUUAGUGAAGCUCUACAUCUCUGAGAUUGUAAGACUGCAUAGGGUUCUGGUUUUGAUAAUUUCUGAUAGGGAUCUUUACUUUACUUCUCAGUUCUGGAGGAAACUGCAUGAGGCUUUAGGUUCAAGAUUGGACUUCAGUACCGCGUUUCAUCCUCAAACCGAUGGUCAAUCUGAGAGAGUGAUUCAGAUACUGGAGGAUAUGCUUCGGAGUUGUGUGAUUGAUUUCCAAGGUAGUUGGGAGGAUUUUCUGCCGUUAGCUGAGUUCGACUAAUGUAACAGUUUCCAGUCUAGCACCCAGAUGGCACCUUACAAGGCUUUGUAUGGUCGUAAGUGUCGUACUUCGCUAUGUUGGACUGAAUUGGGUGAGCAACGAAUUUUGGGUCCUGAGUUGGUUUUCGAGACUAAAGAUAAGGCUAGACGAAUUCAGGAUCGUCUGAAGGCGGCUUCUGAUAGACAGAAAUCCUAAGCGGAUCUGAAAAGAAGGGAUAUCCUCUAGUCACAAUCAAACCUUCUUUGAUUCUGAUCGGACCAUCUGUAUUUAACUGAACCCAAUUACUAGCAAGCUAAGGAUAUUAAAUUUUCGUGUUUAAUAGUUUUUAGAAAUUAUAUUUUGUAUUAAACUUUUGUCUGAAUUUCUUUCAAUAUCAAAUUACUCUUUAUAACGUAUGGUAUUUUAUGUCAUAUAUAUAUUUUUUAAAUUGUGUACAUGCAAUUUAGCCUGUAUAAUAUUAAUGGCAUUACUAGAUUUAAUUUUUUUUUAACUUUUGAAAUUUUUUUCUUUUACUAUUUUUAAAGAAUAACCAAAUAUUUAGAAUUCAAUCAAAUGAGAAUUUAGUUCAGUUGACAAAAAUAGAUAUCUUGAAUCUUGAGUACUUCAGUUUAAGACCUACUAUGCACAAAUAUUUACGUAAGGUUUUUUAAUUUUAAUUUAAUUAAUUUUAAUUUAGUUUUAAUCUCGAUUAUAUUAGAACGAUCGAUUUAUGAUUAUUUAUAUUUGUAAUUAUAUUGUACUUGUUACGCUAAAAAAAAUAAAAUUAUUUCACUUUUCCUUUUCUUUCAGAAUAUUUCAUAUUAAUUCCUAAUCGAUCCAGACAUCUGUUUUGUGGUUGCAUCCACUUUAAACUUCAUAAUUCCAAAAUAAGGUGAGCAAAUAAAAGGAUUUGCCUUCCAAUUAUAUAUUCUCACUAAAGGGAAUAUGCAAGUGCCUUCGUUCAUCAUCAUCAUGUGCAUGUGCUUGAUUUUCCCUUUUACCUGGCUAAUUGAAAUGUAUACAUGGGAGUGUGUAUAUAUACAUGCUAAUUGUCACCAUCUUUUAAAGCAUAUAUUCAGCUCCCUGAUAAAUUAUAGAGGAAUAUAUGUUUGUUAGCAUCCUUAUUUAUUAAAGUGAGAUGUUUAAUAAAUACGAGAUUUAUGAUACACUUACAUUUAUAAUAUAAAUGAAAAAUAAAGUUAUUUAACAAACAUAUUUAUUAAAAUUCAUAUAAUAAGCAAUUGAUAUUUUUUAUUAUAAAUGUAAAGUUAAUUGUUUACCAUGCUUGAAUUUAGAGUUGUCUAAGUGUUGAGUUACUCGUCUGAACUCGAGAGUUUGCUCGAAAUAUGAGAGGGUUUAAACAAGUAGACAAAGCUAAAAAAAUAGACUUAGGAAAAUAUAUAGACCCGUUUCCUAUUCGAGCUAGGCCUUGAAUAGAGUUUUUAAGCCCGAGCCUAACCCGACCUGAAUAUAUAUAAUUUCUAUAUUGAUUCUAUUCCUUUGCUGGGUAUGGAACAUUUGAAGGUGUGCAAUUUACUUACGGCAUGUUUGGUUGGGUGUAUUGGCUAUGCCAAUACACCCCUAAUCGGUGGGCCCCACUUAAGCUCCCUUUAUUCCGUUGUUUGGUUCAUGGUAAUGCUAUUACGGGUGUAAUCUAUUACUGCCCUAAUCGGUGAAAUCCAUCGAUUUGUAAUACAGCCCUUUUGCUCAGAUUAGGUGCUGCAUCCAAAUCCCUCCCUGUUUUACCCUCCCAAUUGGCUUCCCCAUUCCAUCGCCUCUUCCUUCGUUCUACCUUCGUUCUACCUUUGCCUCCCGAUUGGCUUCCCCAUUCCUUCGCCUCUUCCUCUGUCUCUCAACCUCUUCUUUUCUUUUUCUUUACAACCAGUCACUCUUUCGUUUUGCCUUCUCAACCAGUCGACCUUUUUCUUUUCUUUUUCUCUGUGUCACUCCUUCGAUUGCUCUCAAUUGAUGGGUUUCCAGGUUACUGCUACUGAAAGGUAAAGGUUUCUAACUCUCUUUUGCUCUCAAUUAUCCUGUAAUUGUUCUAACUCUCUUCUUCUCUCUGUACUGAGUUUUAAUGGCUGUCUUGUUAGUGUCUUCUUCAUUGCACUUUCAGGGCCUGAUCAUAUAAACUUCAUCGAAACACGGAAUCUUUUGUUUCUUCUUCUCUUUUGCUGGAGUUUUUGCUUUAAUUUUCGGUAAAAAUUUCUUACUAAUCUUUGAUUUUGGUUGUUUUCUCAUUGGUUGAUCUUUACGGCCCUCAUGGAAUCAAAGACCUGAAAGUUUAAAGGGAAUUUUCCUUACUUUCUUGAUAAAAUUCAAUUUAAAACAUUCCAAUAAUUUUUUCCACCUUGUGAUUGGUAAUUUUUCACUUCUUAAUUCUUUUUGAAUAAUUGAGUUAUCUACUUCGUUAUUAGAUGAUUAUUGUUAUGAUUAUUUGAAGAACAGUAACUUGUGUACAUGGAGUUUAUUUUGUUCUAAUUGCGUGACAGGUUUUCGAUGCUUAGUUGCAUGUUAAACAGAAAUCCAGAAUGAUCCUAUCAAUGCAAGAAAAGUCACAGUUUAUUCCAAUUUACAAUCAUUUUUUUCUUUUUCUAUGUGUGUUUUUAUCUUGUUAGGAUUAGACUUGCUCAUAUUCAUUUUCGUUCAGUAUGUUGUUUUUUCUAUUAGAUUUUCAUUUUUCUGGAUUGUUCUUUUAAAAAAUGAAUGAUUUUUCCUAGUAAUCUAAUUUAAUUUGUGUUUUUAUGUUAUGGGGGGCUAAAAUGAUUAGUAUUCUUCUCCAGCAAAGAGAAUGAAGCCAGAGGUUUCUUCGUUGAAUCCCUGUGCAGCAUCAUACAUACCACUUGCCAAAAGGGAGGGUUCCAUAGCUAAAGAUAUUAAGGCUGGAAAUGAGUCUGCUUGGUUUGAUCCUUCCUCACGUAGCAAUGCUUCACUUGAAUCUGCAAUCCCUGGCAUUGGAAACCACCUGGUUGCACUGAAAAGCGACCCUGGUCAUGGUUCUUUGAUGCAAAAUCAGGGUGAAAUGAGUGGCGAGCAGAUUAUGGAUGAGGAAUUCGACAUGGAUUUGGAGUAUCUUCGCAUGAUGUUCCCCGGUUUGUCCAAUGACUCUGUUCUGGAUGUCUACAUGGCUAAUAAUGGAGACUUAGAAGCCACUAUUGACAUGCUGAACCAACUUGAGGUAAAUUUUGCCUAUCUUUAUUUUAUAAUUUAUAUAACUUGAUUGUCUGAGUGGUCUUGCUGGAUUAGUUUUCUAUAUUAUUUUCAUCUCGAAUGUUUCCUAUAUUAUUAGCUCCUCUUACUGUUCCAUCCUGCAGAUUUCCAAGUGUCCCUCUAUGAAAGUGCUAGUAGUGAAGUAAUUGAAUUUAUGAAUAAUUUUCUGAUGUUAUGGGUAACAUAUUUCACUUGUUUUUAACUGUAUGACAUCAAAGAGUUAAGGAUGUUAGUCUGCAUUCAGGCCUAUUUCAGCAUAACCAUGGUUUUUCUUCAUUUGUUUUAAUCCUCCCUGUGCAAAUGAUAGAGAUUUUUCAACCUGUUUUUGUCUCCCACCUUUUGAACUUUCAUAUGAUUUUAUACAUUGAUUUAUGUCAAUGAUUUCCCCACAUAUUUUGUUCUUAUGGAUCGUAUACCUUCAGAUGCUUUUAUUGUUUUUAUUCACCUCACUUUCAGUUGAAUAUAUUAUAACUGAGGGUUGUGUAGUGUUAUCUUGUUCAUAUAAAUUUGUUUGGAAAUUUACCUAUUCUAUAAUGCCAUUAAUAAUGUAUGCUAAUUUGAAUAUUGGGGAUAGGAUGUUUUCCUCAUGCUGCUUGCUUCUUGUUUACUCAUUGUACGGCAAGUUCUUUCUUUGGUUUCAUUAGAAGUGAUUUCUGGAGUAUUUGUGAUUUUGAUUCUUGAAUUAGUUUAUGGUUGGGAUUAAAAAUGCACAUUUUUGCCCUUAUUUCAGUAUUCAUGUACAUUGGAUAGUUCUCUUUGUUAGAUGUACACUGUUGAGUCCUCUGACACUCUUCCCGACACAUUGGAUAUCGGUGAUAUCUCUGAAUUUAUCUCUUCAGCAAACUGUGGUACUCUUAAACUGAAGAAUGUGGCAGGUGAAACCGGCGCGUCUUCAUUAGGCUCUACAGAAUCAGCUGUUACCUCCUGAUUGACAUAAUCAAAGGGGUUUCAGUGUUUCUAGUUUUAGUUGUAUCUCUCAGUGGAUAAGAAGUGUACACAAGUAGGGUUCUUCUUCAAGGUUGAGAAAUGUAGUACUUUGCUUUUAACACUUGAAGGGUUUAACAUUGGAUGUGUAGUUGUAUGCUGUAACAUUUGUUUGGUCGCUCAACUUUUUCUACAUUUGUUUGGCGAUGGAAGAGUAUUUGUUUUGUUUAUGCCUUUGCUGGGGGUUCAUUUUCUCUAUAUAAUAUAAUAACUUAUAUUAGAAGUAAAAUUGUAUUUUGCUUUCUACUAAAAGAAUGGGCAAAUUAGUUCGUGUACGUAAGAUUAAAGAGCAAACUAAUCUUUUUGUUAAAAAUUUCAUCCAUUUUUAUAAUUAAAACCGGUCUUUAUAUGUCGGCAUGAGGUACACGUGGUACAUUACAUGUAAUUGUCUGAUUAUUUUUAUUGUUAACAAUUGAUCUUUUUACAUAGUUUGUGAUAUAUGCACAAAUGAGGUGAAAUUUAUUAAAUUUUAUUCACCGAAUCUAUCAAUUUUCAAAUUUGGAAAAUCAGUCGACUUGCAACGACUUUUUGGAUAGGAUCAAACAUUCUUGGAUUGAGAUAUUUUCAUAGUGUUUGGAGAUCUCUUAAUAUAAGAAUAUUAAUUAUUAAGAAUUUUAUUAAAUUAUAUAUUUUAAUUAUAAUAUAUUUAAUAAUAAUUAUGUUUAAAUAUGAUUAAAAUAUUUAUUAUUGAUAUUAAUAAUCUUAUUAAAAUUUAAAUAACAAUAACAAUAAUAAUUUACCAAAACAAAUUUCUGCUAAUUAUUAAGAAUUUUAUUAAAUUAUAUAUUUUAAUUAAAAUAUAUUUAAAAAUAAUUAUUUUUAAAUAUGAUUAAAUUAUUUAUUAUUGAUAAUAAUAAUCUUAUUAAAAUUUAAAUAAUAAUAACAAUAAUCAUUUACCAAAACAAAUUUAUGCUAAGGGUAUUCUAGUCAUUUUAGUUUUUUCCAUUAUGUUAUUACACCUCUAUUCCAUUCAACCAAACACAAGAUUACUAUUACGCCUCUAUUCCAUUACAUUCAACCAAACAGUUGAUUUGCUAUUACACCUCUAAUCCAAUACACCUCUAAUCCAAUACAGCUCUAAUCUAAUACACAUCUAAUCUAAUACAGCGAACCAAACGCACCCUUAGUGAUACUGAUGAUGUCUAAGUUGAUUGUAAUUACAUUUAUAAGAUCCCGAUAGCUCUGCAUAAAGGUUUGGAUAAGAUGAUUUGGCGUUGCUCUAAUAAUGGAUUAUAUUCAAUAAAAUCAGGAUGCAAGUUAGCCUCUGAUUUGUAUUCAAAUUUUGUUUCGAAUGAAGCCGGCGGUCCUCGAUUGAAGAUUUGGAAUGGCCAUUUCCAAUCGGAGGUGAACUAUUUUACUUGGAGGUGUCUCAGAAACUUUAUUCCUACCAAGGCAAUGUUAAUUGUUAAAGGAUUAAAUGUGCCUUCUAUUUGUGCUAAAUUUUAUAUAUAAACUUACGCCCUGUUUGAGAAUGUUAAUCAAUUAAAAAUUAAUAUUCAAUUAAUUGAAAAUUGAUAUGUAAUUUUAGUUGAAAUUUGAUGAAUUGUUUUUUUUAAAUGGAAUGGCAAUAUUUGCAUGAUAUUUUGAGUUCAAAUAUCUUUAUGAUUAAAUUUUUAUUGAUUUAUUAUAUGUAAAAAAGAUUAAAAAAAGAAAGAAAAGAACAUUAUCACAAAAAUAUAAUUUAAUUAGUAUAUAAGAGAAUAUUUUAAUAAUUUUAAAAUUGAAUUGAUAAUCCAUCACACUGGUAUAGAUUAACUAAGGAGUGUUUCAAAGUGUUGAACGCCUCAUGGUCUGGAAAACAUGGCCAUAAAAACAAUAUACUAAACACAUAAGUGUAAGACCCAAAUUUUGCCCAAGCCUAAAAUAUUUACAGUCCAAUUACAAAACCCAAUAUUUAACCUAAACUAUCAGCCCAAUUAAGACCUAAAACAAAGACCCAAAACCAAGCCCAACACGGCCCAAACUAACAAAAACCCUAAUGCCUCGAUAGGCCCAAAAUCUAAACAAAUUUCAGCCAAAAUAUGGAAGCAGAAACCCAAGUGCGCCGCUCCCUACGUGGUGUCAGCACCUUCUCCGCUGCAACGCUGCCACUGGCCUCCUCCACGCCUCUGACAGCACCUGCAAAACCAAAGCAACAAGCAAAACAACAGCAGAGACAACAGUGGCAACAGAGUAGAAGGAAAACGAAAUAGUAGAAUAUAUUGUAAUUUAUUCGACUAUAAAAGCCUCGAAAAAUCAGUGUAUCAAGGGGGAUUUUUGGGGAACAAAAAAGAAAAUCGAAUAAAAGAGAAGAAAUUUGAAACAAAAUACCAAAGGUGAUUCCUCUUUUUAUUUUUUAUCUUACUUUCAAAAAAAAAACAAUAAACAAAAGCACGGUCUUUUUACCUGAGUCGACAAACCUUCCACAGUGGUCGAAAGUCCUCUCCGGCGUUCGAAACCUAGAACCCAUAGUGGUUCGGCGUGAUGAUUUUGAGAGACGUUGUAACGCCUCAAUUUUUAGGCCUGGAAGUAUUGGGCCUUCAGUCUAGGUUUGGGUAGAAGACGGCCCGAAUAAUUUGGAUGUUAUUAUUAUUAUUAUUUCGUAUGUUUAGUUUAGUAAUUAAAUAAAUUAUGAAGGGUUUAUGGUGUGGGAAAAGGUCCAGGGCUCGGCCCAUAGCUUUAGCAAAAUUAUUAAAUUUUGCCUCUUAAGGGAAUCUGGGCAAUAGGCCUUAUUAAUAAUUUGGGCAAGGAACUUGGUGUUGGCCGAAUAUUGGACUCUUGAGGGGCAAGAGUUGGCCGACCAAGGGUCUUUAGUAUAGGCAAUUCGGCUAGGUCUAUGUGCUUUUUAAUUUUUCCCUUGACGAAUAUUAUUUCCCUUCUCCCCUCUCUUUUAUUCAUAUUUUCUUUUCUUUUUCCCUCAUAGCCGAACCCAUACCCCUUUCUUUCUUCAUUAUUUCUUAAAAGUCAAAUCUUAUUAUAGCCGAACCUCUAUUCUUUUCUUCCUUAAAAAGCCAAAACCUUCAUACCUAUGGUUUAGGAAGCCGGAUCUUUGGCUACUUGAACCUGUUUCUUCUAACUACGGUAGAUCGGGAUUAAUAUCAUAGAUAUGAGCACUUUUCUGGGCCAAACAAUGAUUGGUAAGUUUGUCGAAUAAUUUUUGUUAAUUAUUUAUGAUUUAAUAUAAAAGCGGAAACCCCUUAAGGGUGGCUAAUGUUUGGACUAAGGGCGUUAGUGCCUCUUUUUUUCCAUUGUAUAAGCAUUAGCGUGGACAAAGGGGCGUGCAGUAAAGGGUUUGAAGACUGAUUCGGACUGGAUAUCUAGAUCUAAUCCAUAUUUCGGCAAAAAGGUAAGAACUCUAGGGUUAAGGGAUGUUGGCCGAAUUUGGUAAGGGGGAAUAGUACGUAGUUUGUUUUCGGUAUGUAGACUGACAUUUAGUAACUCGAUUGUAGGAAACCCCUGAGUGGAUCUCGCCAGCAUACCGUUACAAAUCAGGUGUGUAAACGACACCCACUCAUAGACUAGAUCGGCAAAAGCCGAAAAGUUGAAAUGCCGAAAAGUCGGCAUUUUGUGAACUUGCGAGCGUGCGAGUGCUCGUGAGGUGGUUAGUUUGUUAAAUUUUGGUAAUCACAAGCGGUAUGAUUGUAGAGUGCGCAAUUUCAUGCACUUCAGUAUAUUUGGGCUUAAUGGGCCGAAAACGGGUUAGUGGGCCAACGGGCCUAAUUCGGUAAAAACGCUCGGUAGGUGUUUUUGUUAAUGCGUUAAUAACUAUAAUGAGCAUGAAACCCUAAAAAUAUUGAUAAAAUUACUGAAAUACCUCUGUAAGAUAGAAUUACCGUAAUACCCCUAAAGGGGUAAGUUUACGAUUACGCCCCUCGAGGGUAAAUAACUAUUCUUACGCUAUAAUCUGACUGUCUUUCUGAAGCAUGCCUUGUUAAUUAUAUAUAUAUAUUCUACAUACAUGUCAUACUGCAUGGGGUUGGGUUUUGUUAUGGAGGAAGAACCCGUUCUGGUAGCUGUGCCACAUAUUCUGAUAUAAGCAACUUGGCUGCGGAUUAUAGUUAGUGCCGCAACUGGUGCUAACACUGUAAGUGUAAGGAUGGCGUGGGUGAUUUAUUCCCCACAGGAAGUGUAGGGAUGGACGGAGGCAAGUGCAGGGUUGGAUGGGGUUAUCAUGUGUUAAUCAUAUGAGACUGUUUUAUUAUGGGCCAACUGUAUUGAAAUGGGCCCAACUGUGUUGAUAUGGGCAAGGCCCAAUAUAUCUCGACUUGUAAUAGGGCUAUCGCCCAGAUUAAUACUAAUAUGGGCUAGACCCAGUAUACUUUGAUAUUGUAAAGGGCUAUGGCCAGAUUAAUAUUGAUAUGGCCUAAGGCCCAGUUAGCCCUGAUUUUUGAAUAGAGGUUAGGCCUAGUAAAGCUUGAACUGAUUUGGGCUCUGGUUGGGAUACUUUACACACUGAGUUUUCUAAACUCACCCCAUUUUUUCCUAUCUUUGCAGGUGAGCCUUAGAUCGGUGGACUUGGAGCUGGAGGGAUUCAGAGUGGCCAUGUGGACUGUUUAAAAUAAGUGUUUAUACCUUCACUUUUAUUUUAGAUUAUUUCCUUUAUGUUUUCGGGUUUUUAAUUUGUAAUAAGGCUGCUUUAAUUAUUUUUUAAUUGUUUUUAGUAUGUUUUGUUAGCUUAGAUAUGAUAUUGUUUUAAUUGUUUGAAAUUGAAUAGCUCUAGGGCGUGUUUUCAAAAGAAAUUACCUGAUUUCAAAAUAUCGCGAAACAAGACAAAGCUUCCGCAACGAAAACGUUUUCAAAAUUUAAUAAGUGAUUUCAAAUGGAUAAAAACGAAAUGGUUUCUUCUAAACAAUCGCUCAGUUAAAGUGUGGCAAUGGUUGUGUGCAUGUCUAGGAGUGGAUCCGUGGAGAGCUUGGUACUUAAGCAGUCUAAUAGACUCACCUCCUCUUUUCUAGUAUCCUACCUGGUGCACAGCUCCCAUUCACUUUAAUUUAAAACGAAAAUAUUCUUUGAACACUAAGAAAAAAAUUUAGAUAAGACAUGAGUUUUCAGUUACGCUUUAAUGUGACACGUUGGAUUCGACCGUAAUAUAUGAGCCGGGUUUGGGGUGUUACAUUUAGUGGUAUUAGAGCCCAGUUGCAACAACUCGGCUGUGGAUCGGGUCCGAACGUUUUUCAUAAAAUUUUGAAAUCUAGUUCCAUGGAAAAACACUGAAAUCGAUUUUGUGGAAAUGUUAGAAAAUUAUUUUAAAUUUUGUUUUCAAAGUGCACAAAGAAUAAAUUUGAAUUUUACUAAGUGCACAAAGAAGUGGCACACUGAAUCCCCGGCACCAAGUCUGUAAGUACCUUUUCUGAACUUUACUAAGUAUUUGUUAUAUUACUGAGACUCUGCUAUGACAUUAUAGUUAGAGCUAGAGUGCACAGUAGAAGCAUAGUGGUUUGGCUUGAGUAAUACGGUUAGUUGAUAGUUUGAAAUUUCGAGGACGAAAUUUCUUUAAGGGGAGUAGAGUUGUAACGCCCCGAUUUUUGGGCCUGAAAGUAUUGGGCCUUGAGUCUGGGUCUGGGUAGAAGACGACCCGAAUAAUUUGGAUGUUAUUAUUAUUAUUAUUAUUUAUUAUUUCGUAUGUUUAGUUUAGUAAUUAAAUAAAUUACGAAGGGUUUAUGGUGUGGGAAAAGGUCCAGGGCUCGGCCCAUAGCUUUAGCAAAAUUCUUAAAUUUUGCCUCUUAAGGGAAUUUGGACAAUGGCCUUGUUAAUAAUUUGGGCUGAGUUUUAGCAUAAGCAGGCACCUGGCCCAGUGGCUAAGGACGCUAGGAGGGCGUGGGAGGUGCUUGGGUUCAAGGCACAGCGCGCGCAAAUUGGGUGUUUUAUUUUAAUAUGCAGAUGGCGGUUGAAAUAAGGGUUAAGAGGAAAUGCCAGCAUAAUUCAACACAAGGAGCGCCUGUGGCGCAGUGGCAGCAGCGUGCUGGGCACACAGAGAGGGGGCGGGUUCGAGUCCUUGCGCGGGUGAACUCCGUUUUAUUUUUGAAACGGGCCAGAACUGAAGAAGGUAAGGUUAUAAAAUAAUUGAGAGAGGAUUAUGUUAUGGAAGGAACCUCGGUGCAGUGGCAAGCAGUGUAUGUGUGUGUUUAGCAGGUCCUGGGUUCGAGAGGAACAGUAGGCAAAAUUUCUUUUUUAUUUCACAAGUAACCGGAGCUUCAGCAGGUAAGGUUUUAUAAAUAAUUGUAACCAUAUACUAGUAAAGAAUGAAGUGUGGUGCAGUGGCCAGCAGCACUGGCGUAAGUGUAAGGGUAGACGGAGGUUUGGGGUUCAAGUCUCACUUUGUUUUUAUUCAUAUUUUCUUUUCUUUUUCUUUUUCCCUCAUAGCUGAACCCAUACCCCUUUCUUUCUGUCUCUUCCCUUAUUUUACUUUCUUCAUUAUUUCUUAAAAGCCGAAUCUUAUUAUAGUCGAACCUCUAUUCGUUUCUUCCUUAAAAAGCUGAAACCUUCAUACCUGUGGUUUAGAAAGCCGAAUCUUUGGCUACUUGAACCUGUUUCUUCUAACUACAGUAGAUCGGGAUUAAUAUAAUAGAUAUGAGCAAUUUUCUGGGCUGAACAAUGAUUGGUAAGUUUAUCGAAUAAUUUCUGUUAAUUAUUUAUGAUUUAAGAUAAAAGACAGAACCCCUUAAGGGAGGCUAACGUUUGGACUAAGGGCGUUGGUGCCUCUUUCUUUUCCAUUGUAUAAUCAUUAGCGUGGACAAGGGGAUGUGCAGUGAAGGGUUUGAAGACUUCUUCGGAUUGGAUCUCUAGAUCUAAUCCAUAUUUCGGCAAAAAGGUAAGAACUCUAGGGUUAAGGGAUGUUGGCCGAAUUUGGUAAGGGGGAAUAGUACUUAGUUUGUUUUCAGUAUGUAGACUGAUGUUUAGUAACUCAAUUGUAGGCAACUCGUGAGUGGAUCUAUCCAGCGUACCAUUACAAAUCAGGUUUGUAAACGACACCCACUCAUAGACUAGAUUGGCAAAAGUCGAAAAGCUGAAAUGUUGAAAAGCCGUCAUUUUGUGAACUUGCGAGCGUGCGAUCGCUCGUGAGGUGGUUUGUUUGUUAAAUUUUGGUAAUCACAAGUGGUAUGAUUGCAGAGUGCGCAAUUUCGUGCACUUCGGCAUAUUUGGGCUUAAUGGGCCGAAAACGGGUUAGUGGGCCAACGGGCCCAAUUCGGUAAAAACACUAGGUAGGUGUUUUUGUUAAUGUGUUAAUAACUGUAAUGAGCAUGAAACCCUAAAAAUACUGAUAAAAUUACUGAAAUACAUCUGUAAGGUAGAAUUACCGUAAUACCCCUAAAGGGGUAAGUUUACGAUUACGCCCCUUGAGGGUAAAUAACUGUUCUUACGCUAUAAUCUGACUAUCUUUCUGAAGCAUGUCUUGUUAAUUAUAUAUAUAUAUAUUCUGCAUACAUGUCAUACUGCAUGGGGUUGAGUUUUGUUAUUGAGGAAGAACCCGUUCUAGUGGCUGUGCCACAUAUUCUGAUAUAAGCAGCUUUGCUGCAGAUUAUAGUUAGUGCCGCAACAGUUGCUAACACUGUAAGUGUAAGGAUGGCGUGGGUGAUUUAUUCUCCACAGGAAGUGUAGGGAUGGACGGAAGCAAGUGCAGGGUUGGAUGGGGUUAUCAUGUGUUAAUCAUAUGAGACUGUUUUGUUAUGGGCCAACUGUAUUGAAAUGGGCCCAACUGUAUUGAUAUGGGCAAGGCCCAAUAUAUCUCGACUUGUAAUAGGGCUACGGCCCAGAUUAAUACUGAUAUGGGCUAGACCCAGUAUACUUUGAUACUGUAAGGGGCUAUGGCCAGAUUAAUAUUGAUAUGGUCUAAGGCCCAGUUAGCCCUGAUUUCUGAAUAGGGGUUAGGCCUAGUAAAGCUUGAACUGAUUUGGGCUCUCGUUGGGAUACUUUACACACUGAGUUUUCUAAACUCACCCCAUUUUUUUCCCAUCUUUGCAGGUGUGCCUUAGAUCGGUGGACUUGGAGCUGGAGGGAUUCAGAGUGGCCAUGUGGAUUGUUUAAAAUAAGUGUUUAUACCUUCACUUUUAUUUUAGAUUAUUUCCUUUAUGUUUUCGGGUUUUUAAUUUGUAAUAAGACCGCUUUAAUUAUUUUUUAAUUGUUUUUAGUAUGUUUUGUUAGCUUAGAUAUGAUAUUGUUUUAAUUGUUUGAAAUUGAAUAGCUCUAGGGCGCGUUUUCAAAAGAAAUUACCUGAUUUCAAAAUAUCGCGAAACAAGACAAAGCUUCCGCAACGAAAACAUUUUCAAAAUUUAAUAAGUGAUUUCAAAUGGAUAAAAACGAAACGGUUUCUUCUAAAUAAUCGCUCAAUUAAAGUGUGGCAUGGUUGUGUUCAUGUCUAGGAGUGGAUCCGUGGAGAGCUUGGUACUUAAGCAGUCUAAUAGACUCACCUCCUCUUUUCUAGCAUCCUACCUGGUGCACAGCUCCCAUUCACUUUAAUUUAAAACGAAAAUAUUCUUUGAACACUAAGAAAAAAAUUUAGAUAAGACAUGAGUUUUCAGUUACGCUUCAAUGUGACAUGCUGGAUUCGACCGUAACGUCUGGGUCGGGUUUGGGGUGUUACAGAAGUUAAAAAAGUUUUUGGUUAUUUUUUUUAUUUUGGAAGUAGAGGGUUCAAAACGGAGAAAAAAUGGCUCUUUUCGUGUACUCCGACCAUUGUGGACGGCGGCCGCCACGGUGGUCCGGUGAUCGGACCUUGGCCGGAUGCUGGAAGAGGGGAUAGAGUUUGAGAGGUUUUUCCUUUGUUUUUUUUGAGAGGUGUUGAAAAGAGCAAAAAAAAAGAGUGUAAAUUUUGGUUUAAAUACUAGUACUAAAACGAUACUGUUUUGGGCUUUAUGCCCCAGAUGCAAAACGACGCCGUUUCAUCCCUACCCGCGUGUUGACCCGACCCGUCUAGGGGCAUCCACGUGUUUUGACCGAAUGGGCUUGUUGCACUUUUGGCCCUUCCGCUUUUUUAUCAAUUUGCAAUCAAGCUUCCUUUUAUUUGUAAUUCGUGCCCUAUAAUUUAUUUCAAUCAUCAAUUUAGUCCCACACAAAGUGACACGUUUUGGAGGGCAGGAAUAUUUAUUCCUCUAGUCCCUCCAUUUCAUUCGCGCACUGCAAUAUGGUCCUUUCCCUUUUAUUCCUCUCAGAUUUGCCCCGAAUUUUUGUUUUAAGUUCAAAUUGGUCCCUUUUUGUUAUUUUUGCUAUUUUAUUAACUGUUUAAUAUUAUUGUUACUAUAAUCAUAUUUUAUUUUUGUGCUUAUUUAUUUGCUACUAUCAUUAUAUUAUUAUAUUAGUAACUUUGUAUUAUUAUCAUUAUUAUAAUCAUAUUUUCUUUUUGUGUUUCUUUACUUAUUAUUACAUUAUUAAUUGAUCUAUUAUUACUAUUAUUAUUAUUUUCACUAUUACUAUUAUUUUCUAACAUUAUUAUUACUAUUACUAUUAUUUAUUUAUUUAUUUAUUUAUAUCAUUGUUGUUAUUAUUAUUAUUCCUGAUUUUAUUAUUAUUGGUGUAUUAUUAUUAUUAUUCUUCAUUUUAUUAUUAUUUUCUAUUUUAUCAUUUAUUAUUAUUAUUUAUUAUCAAUAUUAUUAUUAUCAUUGCUAUUUUUAUUUUCAUUACUAUCAUUAUUAUUAUUUACUAUUAUUUAUUAUCAUUAUUAUCACCAUUUCCUACUAUUAUUAUUAUUAUUAUCAUCAUUAUUAUUUAUUUGUUUACAUAUGUUUUAUUACAAAUUGUGUCUUUAACUUCAUUUAUCUUUUGAUUCUUUACUUUCAAUAUUUCUUUGUCUUUAUUAUAUUUCAAAACUGGUAUCGUCAUUUCAUGUGCGUGAUUUAUCAUUAGUGUUCUUGUCGUCAUCAUUGUUAUUAUUAUUUAUUUUGUUUUCCUUUGAUGGUUAAUACUGGAAUUAAAGUGAUAUGCAUUAUGGAUUGCUUAUUAGUAUAUUUACAUUAUUGCCACUUAUUUGUGUAACAUUCGAUUCUUAUGCCAUUUUUAUAUUACGCUAAUUCUUACUCAAAUACACAAAAAUAAAAUUUUUAAAAUAAGGCAAUAUUCUGUGUUUGGAGAUUUGAAAGAUCGUGCCCUAACUUAUUGGGUUUCGAUUUUUCUUUGUUCGACCUAAAUGACCGAAUAACCUUUUGAAAUUAAAACGCAUGAAUUUUGAAAAUCAAAAAGCAAGCUUAUUCUCGAGGUUUUAAAAUGCUGUGUCCUAAUUUAUUGGAUGUGACAUUUUAUUACUUCGGGACAAGAAGGUCUUUAACAUCCGUUUCGAUUGAUGCAAGCAAAUUCUUUGUAAAAAAAUCAACAUUAAAAAGAAAGGAUCGUAUUUUUAAUUCUUUUCGAGUUUUUAAAUUUUUACAUUAAGACAUUAAUUAAUCAAUUUGGUACCAAUUUUGGGCGUGACAAGGGUUCUAAUCAUUCCUUGCACGUAACCGACUCCCGAACCCGUUUUCUCAAAUUUCGUAGACAAAAAUUGUUGUUUUAGCAAAUCGAAAUAUUUUAUUAAAAUAACCAAAUUUCUAAGUGAUCUGAUCACACCUAAAUAAAAAGAUUGAUAGCGACUUCCAAUUUUUGUUUUCUUUUCAAAAUAUAAAAUUGAUCCGUUUUAAAAAAAUAGUUUCGAGAGUAAGAAUGUUAGAUCCAAUCGGUUAAAGUAUCCUAUCCCAUUGAAUUUCUAAUUUCCAGCCAAUUGGGUGACUCAUUCUGUCUCGAUUAUGGAUUGAAUAUACACGGAUCCCACAACCCUUUAAAUGACGAGAGUUUCCCACUGCCACAGUUUAGAAAUUCUAUUUUAAAGAGAAGUGACAUUUACCUCAUUUACUCUUAUCGGUUUGUCAUGUUUUGAAUUUGAUCUAUUGCAAAAACUUUCUGAUCUCAUGAUGAGUUUUAUUCACUAUGACACCUUCGUUGACAACAUCCAUCAUAUUUCUUUCCAUGGGUAGGAGUCAUUCAUAAAAAUAUUGGAUGAAUAAUUGUUCCAAAAUUCUAUGUUGUGAGCAACUACCACAUAAUUGCUUAAAUCUCCUAAUACUCGUGAAGAGUCUCCAUACCGUUUUGCUUGAUGCCGUAACUUUUUCCUAGUAGAAAUAGCACAUGACGUAAAAAAAAAUCCGAAAAUAAUCUUAUCAUGUCAAUCCAUGUAGUAAUAGAUCCAGGAGGUAGAUAAUAUAGCCAAUCCUUCACCUUGUUGGCUAGUGAAAAGGUGAAGUCUCUUAGUUUGGUUUGUUCUUUGAUCACUCAUUGUCGUCUCAUAAUAGAACACACUACACCACAUGAAAAUCAUUCAAGUGCUUACGAGGAUCUUUGUUUUUUUGACCACAAAAACUGUUAGUACAAAUAUCCGGUGAGAAAAAUCUCGAACACACGAACAGAACUCGAAAGAAGAAGAAAUAGGACAAGGCUCCAAGGCGUGUAUCAAACCACUUUCUCUAAGAUUAUAUUCGCCCCCACCUAUCUUUGGUGUACAAAUGAGUUCCAAGCAAAUUAACCUUGAUGAUACAAUGAAGCCAAUGACUAUUAGCGUUUUGUACUGACGAGAAUAGCCCACUACACACUGAGCAAUGUAUGACAAGAAACUCAAUUUCUAUAAAGGAUUUUUGCAGUAAUACUUUAUAGAAUAAUCUAAUGAUAUUAGAAAAUGAAGAAAGGAAAGAAAGAAUAUUAGAAUUUGUUGGUAUGAUUUCCAAAUGAAAUCUCAUUCUAUUUAUAGGAAUUUUCAUGUCUCUUCAUAAAGACAUCUUUCAUCAAUAGGUGUCUUUCUGAAUAAUAAUGUCUUUAAAAUAAACACAUAAUUAUUCAAUUAAUUAUAACUAUUCAAAUAAUAUUAUUUAAAUAGUUAUAAUUCUUUUUCAAAAAAUCAAAUAAUAUAAUCUUUUGAUUAAUUACACCCAUUCAUUUAUAGUUGUAAAUAUUUGAAAAUGUUCCAACAAAAAGUAGGCAAUAAAUGAUUUAGUCCAGAUUUUAAUUCAAAAGAUACUUCUAAUCCUAGAUAUUCAAUGCACAACAGUUGUUGCUUCAGAUUUAUUUAAGAGAGAAAUUGGUUAUUCUCCUUUUGAUUCGGUAGAUGAAUCGACUGAAUUGUUCUAUGUAUCUAGUUGGGUAAUGAAGAUGGUUGGUUAGUUCUUGCUCGAACUCUCUUCCUUAGUCUUCGAGCAGUUCUCUCAAACUCAGGAUUGUACAAGAGUUCACCUGCACGAGAAGAUUAAAAUUUUAAUUUUAAUAAAUAUAUUUAAUACUGAGAAAAAAAGAAGAUCAAAACAUAAAAAUGAACAAAAAUUAAAUUAAAUUAAAAACAAGAAAGAGAUAAAAUUAUUAACAUUAAUAUAUGAUAAAAAGGUUAAAAUCUGUACAAUUGUUGAGACCUAUAAAAAUAAAAUCCUACUAAAAAAUAUAAAUUUAGUACAUAACAUUGAGUAGAGUCGUAUUCAUAGAUAUUGAUAAUAACUUUAUUUUUAAAACAAAAACAAGGAAAGUAAAUAUGAUGGAGAUUUUAGAAAAUAAAAAGCUAAAUUUAAAUUUAAAUCUUAACCAAGAAGGCAAUAAUAAAAAUUAUCAAUGAGAUGGAGCUCUAGCCAAUUGUAAAAUAUCUGUUUGAUUCACAAGUUUAAUCAUUGAUGGAAAGAUAAUUCCAUUGUUCUUUAAUAGAUUAGUUCAAAGUUGCCAAUGUCGUACCUAGCAAUCAGUCUCUCCUUAAUUUAUCGAUAACCAAGAGAAAGCUGUUGAAAUUAAUCUUCUUAUCAAUGAACAACCCUAUAACCUCACGUUUAGAAUUUAACUUACCGAUAGAGUUAUAAACGAGAGAGACCUAAUUUUAACCAAAAAAACACACAAGUAGGAUUUAUUUAAAUUAGAUUGCAUUCCCACACAACAUUGAUUGCAUACACAGUUACAGUAUUUAAAUUAGCUCCAUUGGCCAUGGAUUCUACAAGUUGUGUUGACAUUGAUGAUUUUUUUUAUGCUAUUGGUGAUGUCUGUAUUGUCAAAGCGUCAGGUAGAAUGUAUAACAGAUGGCUUGACCAUUGCUGACUUUUACCAAUCCAGCAUGUUUUAAAACUUGGUGGUAGUUGCUGCUACUGGUUAUGUAUUGAGUUGCUGGGAUGCUAGUUAUGUUUUAUUCUGCUGUUGGAAACAUGGUUUGUUGUUGGGGAUUUUUUUGUUGUCAGAUUUACUAUGUUAUGGUUCCUGGUUUAUUGUUUGAUGACUUGAUGGAUGGACGCAGAAGUUGGAGAAAACAUAAGAGUAUAAAUUGAGUCAAAAGAUAAAAUAGUAAAGGCCAUUCUGUUUUAUUUUUCCAUAAUAUUAUACAAACAGUCAACCAUGUAUAUACACAUGGCACUGACAUGAUUGUGAAGGCCUACACACUUUCUAAUGGUUGUACUGGCUAUCAAAAUUUAUUACCAUAACAGUAGUACGGGUAAUGAAGCAGCAGGCAGCUCGUUAUUAUUUAAUUUUGAUAGCCUUAACUACCAGCAUAGCUUGAUGAAGAAGCAAAGGCAGUUAUGCCUCUAACUCAAAUGAUGCCUUCAUUGUGGGUGAACGGCUCACGGGAUCAAUUUCAAUAGAUGCAAUGUACCCAAACUUUGUAACUUUAAAUUUUGGUUUUCCUCUUUUCUCAAGGUUGGUUUUGAUUUGCCCCCAGUGAAUAGGUUGCCUUUGGAUAUCAGUAUAGACCUGCAGCAUGCACGCAAAUGGCAUGCAAAUGGUCAUAGAUUAAAUGAUUAUAUAUACGCAUUCUAACUAGUUAAUUAAUGAUAAGAUUGAAUUGAAUGCAACAUAUACCUUGCUGUUCUCAUCUAGUGGGUUGCUCCAGGCAACAACCCACUUAGUUCCAUCACGUCGCCUGUACACAAGACCAGCAACUGAACCCUGACUAUCAG